CAUCAUCAAUCCCCACAAAAUCCAUCACAAGCCAGAAGAAUCUAACCAGCAAUUAAUCAUUAGCAGCAAGAAAUUAAACCAGACCCCAGCAAAAGAAAGCACAUAAUAAUAUAUCACAUCAUAUUCUUCUAUUCAGUAUUGAAAGCCAUACAAGAAUCACAGAAAAUUACACUUUUCAUAUUACAUGUAUAAGACUUAUAAGCUAUGGUGGGCUUGGGUAGAUUUGGUUGCUGAUGAUGAACACAAUCUUCUUCUUGGUGUUUGGUGGUUUAGGCUUCUGGUUGGUUUUGAAAACAGAACAGAUAAACUUGACAAAAUCAUCAAAAAUCAUUCUCUUCACUGAUCUCCUCUUGGCUGGAAUUAUACUCGCAGUCCCCCCACCAGAUGCUUUUGGCCUGAAGCAGUGUGGCUGCUCUGUUCUUGAAUUUUUUUCCACUGCCAUAUCUCUCUCUCAGUGUGUGAUUUUUUUUUGUUUAAAUAGACAAACCAAGAAGGCAAUAUAUAUGUGGACCAAAAAGCCACAUACUUUUUCUCUGACAAUUCUGAUUAUUUUAUUCAUUCCACUUGUUCAUAACAUUAACAUUAAUUCGAAGAAGGUUCGUGGGGGCAUGAAAAUGAAAUGUUUGCCUAAUGCUAGGGGAUCAUUUAUUUGUAUCAUUUGAUAUGAGUGUUCAGUUGGGUAUGUCACAUUACUAAAAUAAAAUAAAAUAAAAGCCUGAAGUCCAGGACGACAAGACUUGACGAAAUUCAAGCCUUUUUCAACCCCAGUAAAAAAAAAGACGGCGAGACAGAAGUAAACUUGCACAUGUAAGUCACCUUGAAAUUUACCAAACAAUCAUAAUAAAUUCACCAAAUAAUUGUUUUUGUUUGAGGGAGAGGAUCUGUGUUUUCUAGAAUUAUUUAAGAAUGAACAGAGUGAUUCUGUUCCAAUAAUGUUGAAGAAGGUGAGAAUGGCUUGAGACUUUCUUCCAAUUAACCUUCACUUCACCUUGAUAUAUUUUCAUGCAUAUCUAUCUUUCUUUGGCCUGAGUUCUUCUCCAAUCAAUCACAAUUAAAUUUAAUCCAAAUUAACUAAAUCAUCAAAUCUACAAGUUGCCAAUAGGGAUGGCAACGGGUUGAGUAUGACAAUACCAUCCUCAUCCCCGCUCUCCAUCCCCGAAUCCAUUCCCGUUUAUUAGGUUCCCGUCCCUGUCGGGGGCCUAUCCUCAAUACCCGUCCUGAAUCCCCAAUUUUUUUGAAUAAAAAAAUAUUUAUCAUACAUUUUAACAUUAAGUUUCAUAUUACAUUAUCAUUCAAUACAUCCAAAUUAACUAUAAAGUUCAACUCAACUAUUCAAAAUCACAUCAAUAUGAAAUUCCAUAGAAAAUUAGGAAGAAUUAGGAGAGAAAAGUUAACUUAGGGUUAAAUAUAAAUAUUUUAUUUAUUUAUUUAUUUAUUUAAAUAUAAACAUAUAUAUUUUCGGGUUGGGUUCGGGGAUGGGGAUGCCAAUACCAUCCCCUUCCCAUACCCAUAGGGGAUUUCUCAAAUUCGGGGAUCUCCGUACCCGAUACCCAUUUAGUCCCGAAAUCUCCUCCCGUUAGGGUCGGGGACCCAAACGGGAAUUUUUGCCAUCCCUAGUUGCCAACAAAAUUUAAAAGCCAUAAAAAAGUGUUUUUUGAUACAAGUGAUUCAUACACACAACUUCAAUGCAUGAGUAAUUGUACUUAAUUACUUGAACUAUAAGCCCCUUAUACGGUAUACCAUAAAAAAUGUUAAAAUAACAUUAUAUGUUGAAGUUUGAAAGAGAAACUAGAACAACAUUGAAGCAAAACACCACCUAUGGUGACAAAUUGGGUGAAAUUUUGUUGCUGUUCUUGGGUAAAACACCACCUGAAGUAGCAGAAGGACUAGGGCCUGAAAGUAGAGAUCCAAAAUAUUGGACUAUUUGAUAAAAAAAACCAUUCUUUUGACUAACCUCCUCUUUGUUGGAAAUACACUCCCAGAUUUUGGUUUGAAGAACCAUUUAUUGUUGAGCUCCUUUUCUUGUUUUGAAUGUUUCUUUUCCAUUGCCAUCUGAUCCCUUAGUUUUCAGUGUGUAUGUUGGUUCGCUAUGAUAUGCAUCAUAUAAGAGCAACUCCAGCGGCAUGACAGAGCCUCGGGCUGGGGGAAAAAAAUGUCAAAAUCUGUUUCCAGCGAGGAGCCUAAGCCCAGGCGCAAGGUGGGACCCAGCAACCUGGGUUGGCCCGAGCUCCAGCCCUCGUUUUGGUGCUAACGUCGGCGCUAUAGUGCCACUACAGUGCUCACGUGCUACAGUGCCGCUAAAGUCCACGUGUCGCGCUCUGGGCUCUCCGAUCAGAUGUUUUUCUCCAAUCCAACGGCAGCCAAUUUUUGUGCAAUAAAAAAAUGAAAAAAAAUUGAAUUUUUUUUAAAAAAAUACCAAAAAAUUACUGAUUUUUUUUUUCUAUAAAUACCAAAAUUUUAUCCGAUUGAGAUAUGAAUUUUAUAAUAAAUAUUGACACGUACAAACCCAAAAAUAUUAUUCGAAAAUAUUAUCCAAAUUAAUUGUUUAGGUAAACAAAUUUGUGAAAAAAACAAAAAAAAAUGAAUAGUAAUUGCCCUUUGCCAUAGUAAUGGGUGAAAACACACAAUACUAUUUGCAAGGGCAACCACUAUUUAGCUCCUCCUUUGCCAUGAUAAGGGGCAAAUGAGUGGAGUUGCUCUAAGAGGUGGGUAGCGUGGGACAUGCACUCAAAGGUCACAGUCCAAGGCAGACUUUGCUUUUUGCAAUUCAACACUUCCAAUUUCUUUCUUUGUUCCUCAAGAUUUGUUAGAUAUGGUUGUUUUGUUUGUCCCUCCCCCACAUGCUUCACUUGACAAACAUGAAAAGGAGAUGAAAUCCGAAAGGCAAGCACAUAGAAAUGACUUUUGAUUUGAGUGUACAUUGCAGGAAAGUUCUUUCUUCCCAUUUCAUUAAUUUCAUGGCCAACUUAAAAAUAAAAAAGAAGCAUGCGGUUGGCUCUUUGUAUAUAUGAUAUGACUGGUAGUUGGGUUGGGAUCCUUUGGGGAUUGGAAGGGAUAGGAAAUAAUGGGGUGGAAAUGGGACGUCCCUCAACAUCCAUGUAGUUGAAGAAAAAGAAUUUCAAAGAGGACAAAUAUCCACCUGGGCCCAAUUUCAUAGAGGCCGGAAAACAGAAAACUAAAGGGAUCAACCAAUUUCAUUGGACUAGUAGAUUUCAACCAAUUUCAAUUGUUUUUCUCUUUUUGGGUUCAAUUAGAUUGGAUUGCACUUAAAAUCUCCAAAACCAACUUAACUGGAUCACAGAAUUUAUUUAAGCCAGAGGAGUACAUUGACUCCAAUAUUACAUCCACCUAAUUAUGCAUAAACAAGGUAAGGUUGCUCAUUUUGGCCUCGACUCAGAAGAAGAAGUGGGAGGACGAACAGAGCAAACUCGGAUGAAACGGUGAAUCAGCAUGGCCUUCACUAACCUCCUCCUUGCUGGAAUUACAGUUCCAGAUUUUGGUUUGAACACCAACAAUGGCUCCUCAGUGUUGUUGUCGAUGUGGGUUUGUGCUGGUUGAUGAUCUUGAGGCGGCUUCAACUUCACCACCUCCUCUGGGCACUCUGUUUUCUGAUUUGCCAUCUUAUCUUUCUCUCUCUCUUUUCUGAGCUGAGCCCGAGGGUGUGUUUAAUUUGGUGUUUGUGGGGAGUUAAUUACUAAUUUGAGCCUUCUUUGAGAGUUUAAAUAAUCGAACAAAGAAGUGGGAUAUAUCUGGCAAAAAGAGAAGAAUCAGAUUCUGUGCAAGCCAUUAACUACAUAUCCCUUGUGUUAAUUAAUUACAAACAUUUGUCAUUUGCAUUUUUAAUUCCUGUGUUACUGCUUCCCGUUAUGAUUAUCUUUUUCCUUCUUGCCAUAGCCAUUGACAAAAAGGGGCAACAACUUUAUAAUAUUAGGUUAAAAAAUGGUUAUCAAUAUCAUUGUUUUGGCUUUGUACAUAUUCUAUUUUUAAUGUCGAUAUAUGAUCGACAUUAUUAGCCUCAAUGAAAACGUACUGAUAUAUUAUUGGUAUAUUUUUUGUAAAGAUCGAUAAAUAAAGACUGAAUGCUCGUAACAGGAGAAACACUUGUGCAAUGGGAGUUUGAGUUUAGUACAACUAUGAUUUUGUAUUUUUCUUAAUAUAAAAUCGGCAGGUGACGUCAGGUAGCAUGACGUGGGAAAUAUAUUGGAUGCAACCAUGAGACCGAGAGAGAGAGAGAGAGAGAGAGAGAGAGAGAGAGAGAUGAACAACACAUCAAUUGUUUAGUCUUUAAUAAACUUUUAGGGAGGAGAAAAAAGUGAAUUUAAUUCUCUUCUUUUUCUCUUCCCAUAUAUGCAGGAAUUGAUUUGAUUCAUAUAUAUCUUCAUUUUUUUUUUUUUACUCUCUAGACUGUGCUACUCUUUGCAGCAAAUAAAUCUAAACGACAAAACUGGAUGCGUUUUGACCACUUUUAGACCCUGCACAAAAUCAUAUAUGCUGCUAAGUUGCUAACCCUAGAAAAUACAAAUCAUAGACUUUAUCAAACAUUUUCUUCAAGGCUCGUCUACACCAGUUGUGUCGUUGUCUUUGUUUUCGGCAGACUUGGUGUGGCCGACAGUGUUUAAAUAGCUAGGUAGAAAUGUGACAUAAAGUCUAGGUGUGACAAAUUUCAAACUCGUCCUUAUAUUCCCUGCUUAAUUAUUUCCAUCGUUUUUAAUAACUGAAGUACGUAAGUCACACACUUUUUUCUUUCUUAUUGUGAUGAACGGUGAUUUUCAGUCUUUUUCCUUCACUGAAUCAAUCUAGAAACAAAGCCAACGAAGCAACAGCAAAGACAAAACGACAAGUGAAAACUGGGCCCCUUUCCCUUCAACUUUGUUAAAGCCAUCUCCAGCCAUGCACUGAUGUGAAAGAGAUAGCACAUCAAUUCCUUAAUCUUUAAUAAAACUUUACGGAGGAAAAAGAAGUGGAUUUAAUUCUCUUCUUUUUUUCUAGUCCCUAUACUCUGAUACUCUGUGAGGUACGCAAAUAAAACUGGAUGACGUAUCAAAAAAAAAAAGAAAAAAAAAGUGGAUGCCCUUUGACUACUUUUAAACCCUACCCAAGAUAACAUAUGCUAAGCCCACAAAUAUUAUUUGAAGCCCCUCCCCUCUGAAUAGUUCAAAGUAAUAAUAGUAAUAUGUAAUCACUAAAGUAAGCAGUUCAACUUCUUUUUUGUGAUGGACGGUUUGGAUGAGUGGUUUCCAAUCUUGGUGCUCAACCUUUUUUCUUCACUGAAUCUAGAAACAAAGCAAACGAAACAAGCAGAGACAAAAUGACAAGUUAAGAAAUUUUGGGACCCUUGGUUCUUCAACUUUGUUAAUGAGGGUAUUUGGGAUGCGCGAUUAUCACAUGAACUUUAAGUAUGUGUAUGAUUAUCACAUGAACUUUUAAUUUUAAUUAUUAAUCACCAAAACUUUAUAAAAUGUAAUAAUUUACCAUCUACGUAUAAUUCCAUUAAAAUUUCCGUUAAGUCAAGUCAUAUUAUAAUUACAGAAACUUAACAAAUUUGAAAAUAAUUAUAACAAAAAAUAAAAAUCAAGCAUAUUAUCUCUCGCCUCCCCCAACAUCUUUCUCCUGCAUUAUCAUUUUGCAAUUCAAGGUGAAGUCUUUCGAAAAGUGGGAGAUAUGCUCAAGAGUUCUCUAAUACAUUAAAACUUAGCAAUUAUGUCCUUUUCCUUUUUUCUUUGUGCUAGUAAAAUUAAACUUCGCAAACCUAGUUAUGGCAGAAUUUGUUAUUGAUUUGCAGAGCUUGGCUCAUUGUUUGUGCAGUGGGGGGAAGAGAGAGAGAGAGAGAGAGAGAGAGAGAGAGAGAGAGAGAGAGAGAGAGGAGUUUUAGGGCGAGUGUGGGAUAGGAGGGAUGGAUUGUUGUGGGCUGUGGCCUUUUGGUUAGGAAGGGGGCUGUCAUGAAGGAGAAGGGGGAAGGGGAGCUUGUGGGAUAAUUAGGUUGAAUUUUGUUUCUUUUUUUUAAUUAUGUUAGUUUAAAAAAAUGUAAGUUUUUAAUUAUAAUAAAUUGAUUUGGCAAAAAAUAAAAUAAUGAAUUGAUGAAAAUCACUUAAAAAAAAUAUUACAUGUUCAACAUGCGACUUUAUUUAAUGGAAAUUUUAACGGAAUUACACGUAUGAGGUAAAUUGCUACACUUUGUAAAAUUGAGGUAAAAAUUGAAAAUUCUAGUGGUAAUCGCACACAUAUCUAAAAAUUUAAGUGAUAUUUACGCAAAUUCUAAGAAAAAUUAAUUAAUUUAGAAAGUGAAAAGUGAAAACUGUCAAUCUUUUGAAGAAAUUGUAAUUAAGGAAGUGACCGACGCCUCCCUUCCCUUCCAGGCAUUGAGAUUUCGUUACUUGUCUACAUUGCAUCUCAUUUCCUUAUAGAAACUAGUAACGCAGAAAAAGAAGUUGAUUUUAAAACACUAACACACAAAUGAUAGCACAAGCAUACUUGAUAUACAUUUUGGAAAAAGCAAGUCAAAAUAACAUCAUCGAUCUACUGUUCUUGCAGGAGGAGAGAAAUAGAAACAUACCAGCACAAAGAAAACUUGAGUACAAAGAGUGAAAGAGCCAAUGCAACUACUGUCACAGAAACCCUUGCAAUUGAUCUCGGCACAGAAUCCUAGCACCCAAACACAAAACGCAAACAGAACAACAAAAAAUCUUCAAUUUCUACUAAAAGCAAGAAAAACAGCCUGCAUUGAAAUUGCACAAUCGAUAAAAGUUUGAAAGUGUAGACUAAACAUAACUUACCGGCACAAGAUUGGUUCCUGCCUCAAUUCCAUCUCUCCCAACCUUCCAAACUGUUUGUACAACUAUUUCACACAAUUCAAACCAGCAGUCAACACAAAUGUAAACAUAAAACUCAACGGUAAACUAUUUGCUCUCUUGUAUGAGCAGGAAAGCAGCAAAAGUAUGUGAUGCAGAAAGGUAGAAACACUGUGAAUUGGAUGUAAAAAUCACUGAAUUGAAACAACGGACUUCCAAAGCACUGAAUUGAAAUCCACAAUCAAUGUUAAAAAUCGCUAGGCGGUAGUCGGGCGCCUAGGCGUUUUUUUUUAAUUUAUAAUUAUUUUGUAUUAAUCGCGGCCUGGUGAUGUUCGUCGCCGGUGGAGGCCUGCUGGUGGUGGUCUGUCGUGAGAGAGAGAGAGAGAGAGAGGAAAAAAAAAAAAAAAUUUUUAAGGAACUGACCCGCCCAGGCUGCCUAACUCCCGCCUAGCCGCCUAGCCCCGCCUAGGCGGAUUUUUCGAACACUCGACAAUUUAACGUUAAAAAUUGUCAUAAUCUAACAGAAAUUAACAUGCUUUCGACAGAUAUUCACCAAUACAAUGCUAUUCAGUUGCAAAAAUACCUUUUAUCCAAAUCCAAAAACCAAAAAUAUAAAAACACGAUUCAUAAAAUAGCAAAUUCGACGAACCCAUUAAACAACAAUGUUCAGGGAUCAUAAAUACCAAACAGAAGAAGAAGAAGAAGAAACGCAAGGAAGUGCAGCUAGCUAACCUUUUAAGAAAUUGGACUGUGCAGCGAACACAACAGGAACAGAGCGAUACCAUCAAUAUCUUUCUCCAAUUUGAUUACUUUACGCAGACUAAUUGAGAGCUGGAACCGCCAUUUUAGCUUUCAACCAGUGAGUCUCUCACUUUCUCUCUCAGCCUCACAAGCAGCGGCUGUGGCCUUUUGGUUAGGAAGGGGGCUGUCAUGAAGGAGAAGGGGGAAGGGGAGCUUGUGGGAUAAUUAGGUUGAAUUUUUUUUUUCUUUUUAAUUAUGUUAGUUUUAAAAAAUGUAAGUUUUUAAUUAUAAUAAAAUUAUUGGCAAAAUAAAAAAAUAAAAAAAUUGAUGAUACUCAAAAUAGCACUUAUUCAACGUGUGACUUUAUUUAAUGGAAAUUUUAACGGAGUUUACACGUAGAAGGUAAAUUGGUACACUUUGCAAAGUUGAGAUAAAAAUUGAAAGUUCAUAUGAUAAUCGCACACAUACCUAAAAAUUUAAAUAACAUUUACGCAAAUUUCCCAAAAAAUUAAUUAAUUUGAAAAGUGAAAAGUGAAAACUAUCAAUCUUUUGAAGAAAUUGUAAUUAAGCAAGUGGCCGACGCCUCCCUUCCCUUCCAUGCAUGCAUUGAGAUUUCGUUAUUGCUUGUUGUUUCUUUUUUGUUUCAAGACAAAUACUUCAAAACGCUAUGCUUUAUUAGGCCAAAAUUAACCAUUAAGCAGAGAAAGAAACCACACCAUUAUAUUAAUUAAAGCCAAGAAACUACAUCACACAUCACUACACACAAAGAAAUUAAAUAAACGAAAACAUUUGCAUGCCUAGAGGAGAUCCAUACUUUUCACUAUCGGAAAAUAUCCAAUUCUUACGAAGAGAAGUCCUACUGCCGCCGGCCAUCUUCGAGCUUUUUGGGAGUUUUCGAGUUCAUUCUCAUGUCUACCAUCAACCACUUCGUGAUUCUCGAUAAAUUUAUCAUGUUCUAAUUUCCUUUUGCUUGGACUAAGAUGCAGUUUAGCCAUGAAUACCUUAUUUAUGAGUUUAUGUUAAUUUGAUAUUAUUUUUCAUAUUAAGUAUCUUUUACCGUUCUUAAUGCUUUGAGUGCUUCAUCACCACUUAAUAUAUUGUAGGUUUUGGUGUUUGUCAUUUCUCAACCUUAUUAGUGUCAGACUUAGAGUGAAUAAUAAAGCGGUUUUUGAUGAUGCAUGGGAUGUUACAUUGUGAGACGCAACCAUUGACGUAAAGUUAAAGCGUGCGGCUGAAUAAUCUCUUUGUCUCUUUUUUCUUUUUCACCAAUUUAUUGUAUUUUUAAAGGGAAUGAAAGAAGAUAACAAUGUGAGUAGUAAAUCCAAUGAAAAUGGAAAAGAAAAUCAAAAUAAUUAACAUGACUAUCAUAACAAGGAAAAUGCUAGAGAUACCUACUAAUUACAUCAAUUUUGAAUCCUAACUGUUGUGACAAUAUUUUAUUUGCUAUAUAUAAAGUUGAAAGUAGAUUAUUAGGUCAUGUUUGGUAUCCUACUCAAAAAAGUAAAUUCAAAAACUAUGAUUUUUUUUUUUAAAACAUGAGCUUUCAAAUAGUGAUUUUAAGAUGUAAAAACUUAAUCCGACAGAAAAAAAAAAUCUAAAAACUUGUUUGGUAUUGAACUCUAAACUAUUUUUAAGAUCUAAAAAAAUUGAAAUUAAAAUCAAAAAAUCAGAAACCCUAGAUUCCCAAAUUGAAAUUAACAAAAGAAAAUUAGGAGAGAGAGAGAGAGAGAGAGAGAGAGAGAGAGGAAGAGGGAGACGGGAGAUGGGAGACAGGAGGAGGAAGAGAUAGAGAUGAGAUGAGAGAGGGAGGAGAGAGAAAGAGACGGAGAGAGCGGGGAGAGAGAGGGGCAACAACUUUGUAAUAUUGGGUUAAAAAAUGGUUAUCAAUAUCAUUAUUUCUGCCUUGUACAUAUUCAAUUUUUAAGACCGGAUGUCCAUAACAGUUGAAACACUUGUGUGCAACGGGGAUCACUGUUUUGCUAUUCUAGCCAAUCACGCAUAUGAUAACUUUUCCACUUGAAAUAGCGUGAUUAGACAAGAAUAGCAAAACAAUACUAUCCAUGUUCCAUAUAAGUUUUUCUGUCGUAAUAGACAAUUACUGAGAAUUUUUAUUUUUUAUUUAUUUUUUUAUUUUAUCAUUACAAUGUUUUUUAACAUAACAACUAUGAUUUCGCAUUUUUCUUAAUAUGGAAUCAGCAGGUAACGUCAGGUACCAUGACGUGGGAAAUAUGUAUAUGUGAAUUGGAUGCAACCAUGAGAGAGAGAGAGAGAGAGAGAGAGAGAGAGAGAGAGAUGAACAACAUAUCAAUUGUUUGGUCUUUAAUAAACUUUUAGGGAGGAGAAAAAAGUGAAUUUAAUUCUCUUCUUUUUCUCUUCCGAUAUAUGUCUUCAUUUUUUCUACUCUCUAGACUCUGCUAGACUCUUUGCAGCGAAUAAAUCUAAACGACCAAACUGGAUGCGUUUUGACCACUUUUAGACCCUGCACAAAAUCAUAUAUGCUGCUAACCCUCUGUCAAUUUCCUGCAUAACAUGUUGAUAUACACAGGCAAUAGCCACGACCAACAAAUUUCUCCACAUGUCAUGCGUGUACAUAUACAUAUUAAUCAAUAAGAUUAAUUUGAUGAUGAAAGUAGCUAGCUAAUUGGUGUGGCUCAUUUGGGUUGUGUUGUUGUCUUUGUUUUUGGCACAACAAAAGUCGGCGGACUUCAUCAGUAACCAGUUGGUGUGGCCGACAAUGUUUAAGUAGCUAGCUAGAAAUGUGACAAAAAGUCUAAGUGUGACAAAUUCAAACUCUUGUCCUUAAUUUCCUAAUCCCCCUAAAUGCCAAAAAGAAAAUGUUAGAUUUUUAUAGUGUCUAUAAUCUUUCACAUAACCUGAAAUACAUAAAAGAUAUAUCUAGCGUCAUUUUCCUUCAGUAAAUGAUUUCUGAACUCAUUCAAUCGCAGCAACAACAACUCUAACAAACGACACAAAUGGCUCAAGACUUCUGCUCUCUCUCAGAAACUAUUUCAGUUAUCUCUUUAUGAUGAGAUUAGGGUUAGAGAACGUGUCUGAUGAGAGCAUGGUCUUAAGCUUAUAUAGGGUUAGGUCAAGUCGUCUCUACUCAUCACUAAGACCCGACUUGACUAACACUCUAAGCCUAUUAAGCGACAGUUCAUGCAAAAGGAAAUAAAUAGGACCCUCCAGUUGGCUUCAAAAUUUUCCUUAUUUCACAAGAUUUUGGGUUUUGGGUCUCAAGGUACAGCAUAAUUUAAACUUUUAUCAAACCUGAUAUAACUUAGCAUCUAGUGCAUCGAUCUAAAAAAUAACAUAAUAGAAAAAUCCUUCUUCCAUCAAAAGGUCAUCUCUACAUCAAGUAAAAUCCACUGGUUAAUUAUUUUCAUCAUUUUUCAGGUGAAUAUUCUUUCUUGACAGGGAAAAAAAAGAAAAGAAUGAUGAGUCGUCAAAAUCUUGAAGAUUUCUGUUCUUUCUCCACCUCCCUGACAAUUACAGAAAGACACUUUACAUAAUUGUAAGGCUGGAAAAAUUUACUCUCCACAUCUUCGUAUGUGGUGGACAGUAAGGGAUUUAUUAAUUGAGUAAUAUAAAACACUUUAUCAAACUAGUUCUUGAAGAAAAGAAUAGAAAUAGUAAAUGUAAUAAUUAAAGAACGUAAGUCACACACUUUCUUCUUUGUUAUUGUGAUGGACGGUGAUUUUCAAUCUUUUUGCUACACUGAAUCAAUCUAGAAACAAAGCCAUCGAAGCAAUAGCAAAGACAAAACGACAAGUUGAAAACUGGGGCCCUUUCUUUUCCUUCAACUCUGUUAAUGCCACUGCCAGCCAUAUGAGAGAGAGAGAGAGAGAGAGAGAGAGAGAGAGAGAGAGAGAGAGAAGUGGCAAAAAGAAGGGUUUGGUUCGGGACAGAAAAGAAAACUAUCUAUCUAUCAAUAAUCUCCUGGAUGGAACAAGUCUAUAUGAAAUGCAUGCGGGCGGGACCAAGUUUAUCUGUAAAUUAUGAGGAAAAGUUGCACGCUUAGGACGUGGGAAAUUCAUAUAUGAAAUGAAAUAUGGAUGCAACCAUGUGAGAGAGAGAGAGAGAGAGAGAGAGAGAGAGAGAGAGAGAGAGAGAGAGAGAGAGAGAGAGAGAGAGAGAGAGCAUCAAUUCCUUAAUCUUUAAUAAACUUUACGGAGGAGAAAGAAGUGGAUUUAAUUCUCUUCUUUUUCUAAUCUCUAUACUCUGCUACUCUUUGAGGUACACAAAUAAAACUGGAUGACGUAUAAAAAAAAACUGGACGCCUUUUGACUACUUUUAAACCCUACCCAAAAUAGCAUAUGCUAAACCUACAAAUCAUGUUCAAAUUGAACCAAACAUGCUUCCAGAAACACUCGCAUUUGGAUAUAUGGUGCUUUACGCAAAGAAAUUAGGUCCACGUGUAAAAGAGCUUGAAUUAUACAGGGUUAUUUUCAUUUGCCAUUGUCCAAGCCCAUCUCUCACUCCUCUUGGGUGUCUAGUAAUUGUAGAAGAUUAAUUUUACAUGAUUCUCACUACAUAAUUAAUAGUCACGAUGGGGUGCUUAAAAACACUAGCGACAUCUAAUAGCUAAUAAUAACUAUAUCAUAAAAUAAAGUAAGACUGCCGAAAUUUGAAGAGAAAUUUUUCCGACUCAUUUUUCAAUCCUGGAUCCGUGCCUCAAGACUGUAAUAUUGUUUUCUUCAAGUGUUCGGGGCUUUGGUCGUAAUUAUAUAUCUUGCUAAUUGGAGUACAUGUAUUAACAAUGAUGAUAUAUAUAUAUGUAGGACUGAAGCCCCUCCCCUCUGAAUAGUUCAAAGUAAUAAUAGUAAUAUGUACUCAUUAAAGUAAGCAGUUCAACUUCUUUUUUGUGAUGGACGGUUUGGAUGGGUGGUUUCCAAUCUUGCUGCUCAGCCUUUUUUCUUCACUGAAUCUAGAAACAAAGCAAACGGAACAAGCGGAGACAAAAUGACAAGUUAAUAAAUUUUGGGACCCUUGUUCUUCAACUUUGUUAAUGAGGGUAUUUGGGAUGCACAUGCAAAUGGAAUCUUAGAACAUAUUUUUUCGUUUAAAAAAAAAUUUAAGAAAAUUUGCAUAAAUACUACCUGAAUUUUUAAGCAUGUGCGCAAUUACCACAUAAACUUUUAAUUUUAAUUAUUAAUCACCUAAACUUUAUAAAGUGUAACAAUUUACCAUCUACGUAUAACUUCAUUAAGAUUUUCGUUAAGUCAAGUCAUAUUAUAAUUAUAAAAACUUAACAAAUUUGAAAAUAAUUAUUAAAAAAAUAAAAAUCAAGCAUAUUAUCUCUCGCCUCCCCCCAACAUCUUUCUCCUCCAAUACCCUUUUGCUUAGGAAGGGGGUUGUCAUGAAGGAGAAGGAGGAAUGGGAGCUUGUGGGAUAAUUAGGUUGAUUUUUUUUUUUUUGCUUUUUAAUUAUAUUAGUUUUAAAAAAUGUAAGUUUUUAAUUAUAAUAAAUUGAUUUGGCAAAAAACUAUAUACAAUGAAUUGAUGAAAGUGUAUUUUAAAAAAUAUCACAUAUUCAAUGUGUCACUUUAUUUAACGGAAAUUUUAACGGAGUUACGCGUAGGAAGUAAAUUGCUACACCUUACAAACUUAAAGUGUUCAAUAGUAAAAAUUGAAACUUUAGGUGGUAAUCGUGUACAUACCUAAAAUUAGUUAAUUUAGAAACUGGAAAGUGAAAACUAUCAAUCUUUUGGAGAAAUUGUAAUUAAGCAAGUGGCGACGCCUCCCUUCCCUUCCAUGCAUUGAGAUUUCGUUAUUUUAUUUGUUUCAAGACAAAUACUUCAAAACGCUAUGCUUUAUUGCCUUGAGUUUUUGGUAGGCCAAAAUUAACUAUUAAGCAGGGAAAGAAACCACACCAUUAUAUUAAUUAAAGCCAAGAAACUACAUCACACAUCACUACACACAAAGAAAUUAAAUAAACGAAAACAUUUGCAUGCCUAGAUAUCCAGAACAUUUGCAUGCCUAGCGAUGCAUGGCCGAAGCUAGGUUAAUUAAUUAAUUUGGGUAAACGUGGUUACUCUUCUUGGUGUUGGAUGUUUUGGGCUUGUCCUGGGUUUCAGAGACUCCAGAUUCAGAAGCCAUGGAAGGACAAACAUGGAGUAUCUGAUCAAGCAUCAUGCUCUUUACUAACCUCCUCUUUGCCGGAAUUACACUCCCUGGUUUUGGUUUGAACCAUGGCUCCUCCUCCCUCUCAGUCUUGUUCUCGUGGGCUGUGAUUUCUUGAGAUGGCGUCAGCUCCUUAUUUGGCUCUUUAUUGCCCCCCACGUACUUAUCUUCCAUAUCUUGGGUCAAGUUCAAUGCCAUCUCUCCUUGUUUUGAUAACAAAGAGAUGAAGAUGGUGAAGAGAUUUAGAGAGAGAAACAGCAGAGAGAAGAGUUCAGAGAAAAGUUGAAAAAUAUGAUGAAUUGCAUGAGGAUUAGACUAGAGUAUUUAUAAACCGGAUUGGAAUUAAAGUUCCAAGUCUGUUAUUACGAGUUUCACCCCUUUAGAAAAAAAAAAAAUUGUAAAACAUGAUGUGUUGAAAUUUUGUCCAAUUUAACAAGUUCAGUCUUAGUAUUUAUAAGUAGUUCAUCUAACAUCGGCCAUAAUAUAAAUUCAAUUUAAUUGAAAAUAUCCAGUUUAAAUCGAGUCAUCAAACGACACGGACCAGCACAAGACUUGGUAACUAACAAUGAAAUCAUGUUAUUAUGUCUGAAACCGCACAUGAUAUAUUGUAGGUUUUGGUGUUUGUCAUUUCUCAACCUUAUUAGUGUCAGACUUAGAGUGAAUAAUAAAGGGGUUUUUGAUGGAUGCAUGGGAUUUUACAUUGUGGGACGCAACCAUUGACGUAAAGUUAAAGCGUGCGACUGAACAAUGUCUUUGUCUCUUCUUUAGUUUUCACUAAUUUAUUGUAUUUUUAAAGGGAAUGAAAGAAUGAUAACAAUGUGAUUAGUAAUAGUAAAUUCAAUGAAAAUGGAAAAGAAAAUCAUAAUAAUUAAUAUGACUAUCAUAACAAGGAAAAUGCUAGAGAUACCUACUAAUUACAUCAAUUUUGAAUCCUAACCGAUGUGACAAUAUUUUAUUUGCUAUAAAUAUAUAAAGUCGAAAGUAGACUAUUAGGUCAUGUUUGGUAUCCUACUCAAUAAAGUAAAUUUAAAAAUUAUGAUUCUUUUUUAAAACAUGAGUUUUCAAAUAGUGAUUUUAAGAUCUAAGAACUUGAUCCAACAAAAAAAAAAGAUCUAAAAACUUGUUUGGUAUUGAACUCCAAACUAUUUUUAAGAUCUAAAAAAAUUAAAAUUAAAAUCAAAAAAAUCAAAAACCCUAGAGUCCCAAAUUGAAAUUAACAAAAGAAAAGGAGAGACGAGAGUGGGAGGAGGAAGAGAUAGAGAUGAGAUGAGAGAGGGAGGAGAGAGAAAAAAAAACUAUAAAACUUCACUUUUGUUGUUUUUAAUAAUGAGGGUGUUUUUGAGUUUUUAAAAAUGGGCCUACCAAACGGAUUUUUGUGGUUUAAAACUUAAAAUCUGUUUUUGAGUUUAUAAAAUUGAGUCAAUACCAAACAUGCCCUAAUUUUUUGAAACUUAAAAAGAAAACAAAUGAAACGAUAAUAAUAUAAGAGUGGAUAUUAAUCAUAUACAUAUAACAUUAUGGCGCGUAAAAAGUUCAUCAUCGGCUUACUCUCGAUUGGGAUGAGGGACUAAUAAACAAAAUAAAUAAAAUAAAAGUUAUAAAGCCUUUUCGGGUUUGCCCAAGCUAAAGCACUACACUUUCGGCCUUGAGCAGUAAUGCUUUACAUACUUUUCAUUUCUUUCUUAAGAAGGUCCCAAUUUGUUCAUGGAUACGUACAUGAAGUUCAUUAGGGUUGGAAUUAAAAAUUCAAAACGUGACGCCUUCCGAAGCCAGGGAUAGUGUAUGAGUGUACCCUAAAGCAAUCAUGUAAACGCAAGAUGGAAUCAUCUGAUCCAUUUACCACCGACUGGUUUAGCUUUUUUGAAGCCACUAAGCGAGAGCUUUAGAUUUCCUCUUCCAUAUGUUUGUUGCACGAGCUUUAGCUUUUUAUGCCACUAAGCUUUUUUCUUCAACAUGUUAAUCUAAGCUUACCACUUAAUUGUGUUUUAUUUUUAUUUAAUCACUGAGACAAAAGCGCACAAUGAGGUGGCUCCACAAUGAAAAAUGUUGGCGUGACUUGUGGAUAUUGACUUACUUUCCUUACACACCAAGAAUUCCUAUUAUUAAAUUAUUUUAAGUGGCUUUUUCCCUUUUCUGCCUCUCUCUAACAUUAAUGAUGAUGUUGAUACAAACAAACGUGCUAAUUAAAUGUCCAUGUCUCAUCUAAGAACUUUGAACAUAUUGAAAGCAAGUGAUGGUGACUGGCUUGGCUUCUUUUUAGGUGAAGAAAUAGGGCUAACGCCCAACAAAGAAAUUAAAUAAUGAUUUGAGGCCUUUAGACUCUAAAUAAAUUUUCAUUAAGAAAAGAUCUAAUACUAUCAAGAGAAUUAUGGAAAGUUGACAGACCCAACUCAAGACACGAACCUAAUUUAAUUAAUCUAUCUGCCACAAUAUUGUAUUCACGAUAUACAUGAUGAAUAUAACAAAUUCAAUUUUUAUUUACAAAGGAUUGGCUUCUUUUUAAAGUAAGUAAAAUACUCACGUAGUUAAUGUAAUGGAAAGGUACCCUUCGCAGUUUGCAUAUAAAUUAUUAAUUGUAGCUUUUCUUUAAUAAAAGAUAUCUAACAGUGAUUCUGUUCUAAUAAUGUUGAAGAAGGUGAGUGUGGCUUUGAGACUUCCCAUUAAGCUUCACCUUGUUAUAUAUUCAUGCGUAUCUAUCUUUCUUUGGCCUGAGUUCUUUUCCAAUCAAAAUUAGCAUCAAUCCAAUUGACUAAAUCAUCAAAUCUACAAGUUGCCAACAAAAUUCAAAAGCCACAGUAAGUUUUUUUGAUACAAGCGACUCGAAUACAGGACUUCAAUACAACUGCAUUAUAUACAUUGAAGCAAAACACCAUGGUGACCAAUUGGGUAAAACUUCAAUCCAAGACAAGACUUUUCUUUUUGCAAUACAACACUUGUAUUUUGUUACUCUCUCUCUCUCUCUCUCUCUCUCUCUCUCUCUCUCUCUCUCUCUCUGGGUAAUUGAUUUAUUAUGCAUUGGUCUAAUGGAAUUGGACCCACAAUAAGUUCUUUGCUUUAGCUCCAACAAGAAGUGACCCCAACAUCUCCCCCCCAUGCAUGCAUUGGUUUCAAUUUUUUAUUUUUUAUUUUCAAUUGGAAUUGGCAAUUUCACCCGUGGUGCUAUAGUAAAGGGUAAGGGCAGACACUAUUUGCGUAAAUAGUGAUUGCCCUAUCCUUUUAAUUUUGCUUUUUCACCUAUUGUCAUGUCAAACUAAGGACAAUUACUAUUUAUAUGAGAUUAAUUUUAUUUAUAUGUAAAAAAACAAAUAUUUCUUAAUGUUUUUGAAUUAUUCAGAAUUUUUUUCAAUUUUUUAUAAAAAAAUUUACGUUGACGUCAUCGUCCUUAGACAAUAGCUAUUCUUGCCUUCGGCACCCAAGCUUGGUGAAGCCUACCAUCUGUAUGGGCUAGAUUGCUGCGUUGGAAAUAAUUUUUGAGACCUAAUGGGCAUUUUGUUUGGACUAGACUGCUAGAGUAGAAAUGCCCUUAUUGAUCAUCAAUUUGAUGGUGGCCCAAGUUCGCUUUAAAGUACCCUUAAUUUGGUUGCUUAAUUAGUAAUAUCCUUUUUUAUUUGGCGGCAAAAGAGUACCCUUAGAUUUAUCCUAGGAAAAUUUAAGAAAAAAGAUUACAGGACAAAAGCCAAACACACAAUUAGAAUUAACACCCUUUUGGAUUAAUUUGUCUGAUUAAUUUGUCUGGAUAUAUAAAUUAAACCAAUCAAUUGUACAUUGUCCAUUCAUCCCCAAAACCAAAAGCCAGAUUAAAAGAGUGCAUACAUGAUCAUAUUCAUUAACAGCAAAAAACUUAAUUACAUCCUAUAGGAAUUAAACGGGGCAUUAAGCUUUUAAUUCUAGGGAAAGAACAUGGAAAAUUAUGUUAUAAAACUGAGUUUCCUAGUCACUAAUUGGUGAGUAUUGACCAAUUGAUUCUAACUGACUUAUUAAAAUUCAUUAGAUUAAUUUAAUAGUUAAUAUUUAUUUAAAUACGUGUAAAUAUACCGAUAUUAAAUACAAGGGCGAGAUUCGAUAAUUCGAUAUAAUUGUCAUCACUUAUAUAAAUUUUUUUUUAUACAAGUGACGCAAAGUAAAUGUUGUUAACACUGCUGCAUUAUAUAUAUUGAAGUUCGAAGGGGAAACUGGAAUAACAUUGAAGCAAAACACCAACUAUGGUGACCAAUUGGGUAAAACUUCUGUGAAGACCCGUAUUUUUCAAAAAUAUAUGAAGAAUAAAUAUUUUGCUGCCUAUUUAGUUAUAUAUUUAAAUUGAUUAUAUAUAUAUAUAUAGUUGUUUUACCAUUUUAAUAAUUAUAUGUAUUUUAUUAUAUUAAAUAUGUAUAUAAGAAGCAUGAAGUAGAUAACAUAAGCUGGAGGUGGCACCAUUUCUUGGUUGCUUAAGGGACGUGUAAACACAUAAGGUUGUUGCCUUGCUAUCCAAGUGGCUAGCUGGCUUUACUUCAUUAAAAUAUUAUCCUAAUACCAAAUGUUAGCACUUAUCCUCAACCUCCAAACAUGUCAACCAAUGAUAGACUGAUAGUUGCCGCCUUUAUUCUAGUAUAAAUACAGAGUUUGCAUUUACAAAUGGUUUACUACAUCUAGAGAAAGGCAUGCAUAGUUUGCAUGAGAAACGAGAGACAAAUAGCGGUCGAGAUAAAAAGAAAGAGAGAGUGGUAAUAAUAUUCUUGGAGGAGUUAGAGGUUGGAGCUUGUGUUUUCUUAACUUGGAGUUAGCUUUCAAAACGAGAUAGGGAUUUUUUGGUGACCUUUUACAAAGAUUGAUCUAAUUAAAUUUCGUGAGUAAUAUAUUAUACAUGAUAUUAUUAUUUGAUUAUUAUUGAUAUUGGGUGUUUAAGUGUUGUUAAUUAUCAUUAUAUCAUUUUAUUAAUAUUGACAUGAUCAUAUGUUAUGAGUGAUAGCUGGAAUUCUUGGAUUGAUAAAGAAAUUAUGGAAAAGAAGGUAAUAGGAAGGAUCUUUUGUGUAGUUGAGUUUGACCAUUGUAGAGACCAUGUUCAGGUGAGCCCAUGUGCACAGUAGACUAGGAAAUCGGCGAUAUAAUUUUCGAUUGGGUAAUUUGGGCUUGGAGAUCAAUAGUGUAGACAAGACGACUAACAAAAGGAGAAUUAUGGGAUGAUUGAAAUGGGUGUUAGUUUAUAUAAAUGGGCAUUCGGGAUCAAGUGGUAUAAGCAUGGUAUGUGACGUGCAGGUCUGCUUGUCCAGUUAUAUGAAUUAACGGGAAUAGAUGAAGAGCAUUCAUGCAUUAUUAUUAUUAAUGUGAUAUUUGGCUGUGUGAUUGCAUGUCACUUAAUUUAGUUAUAUCAAUCUACUGUGGCAAGGUCUCAUGUCCCAACUGAGUGGUGGUUGCUCAUCCUUCACCCUGUUUAAUUUUUCAGAUGAAUUAGUGGGCAAGUCAAGGACUAAACCAGUUGAGGCUGAAUUAGAUGAGAAUGAUAGAGCUUUAUUUAUUUCUUGUAAAGUUGUAAGAUUUUGGAGCUAUUUUUAUAAGAGAAAUUUUAUUUUAAACCCAUGUUUCGGCUUUUUUUAAUUUAAUUUUAGUUUUUAUUUUCUCAAACACCGGGCUCGGGGUUUCCACCGACCCCCGGGUCUAGGGCAUGACAACUUCAAUCCUAGACAGACUUUUUAUUUUGUUACCUCUCUCUCUCUCUCUCUCUCUCUCUCUCUCUCUCUCUCUCUCUCUCUCUCUCUCUCUCUCUCUCUCUCUCUCUCUCUCUCAUUGGUUAAUUGAUUUUUUAUGCAUUGGUCUAAUGCAAAUAUGCCCAAGUUAGUAUGAACUUGUUGAAGUUGACUAGCUUAAAAGAGGUGAAAGGUAUAAAGGAAACAGUCAGUCAAAGAGCUGUAGACAAGUUGACUGGGCUCUGGCACUCGAGCAGCAAAUAGGUGUCUUGAGUGGACGCAGACGCUCGAGCUGGAGGCGCGGAUCCUUGGCAAAUUAGGAUAGAUUUCUUCCUAGUAUUGAGGGUUCUUUAAAUCUCAUAUUCCUUGUAUGAUUGUACUAAAGUCCUAUAUCAUAUAAAUAGGUACUUUAACUCUAGGUUUUAAUAAUGUGAGAAAAUUAAGGCAUUAAAUUGGGUUUGAGCAAAAGGUGUGAGAAAAAAAGAGUUAGGGUGGGGUUCUGCAUUGUAACCAAAGAGGUUUUUUCAUACUAGUGAAUUUCUAGGGGAUCGCCGAAGAGGACGCAGGCACAACGCCGAACCUUCAUAAAUUAUUAUGUGUCUGUGUGUGUGUGUUUACUUUUCUGGUUCGCCUGUGCUUUAUCUUUGCUUGACUUGUAUGUGAUAGUUGCGUAAUCCAUCAACAACAAGGUCUUGGAGUGUUUUUCACAACACUUUGCUCCUCCAAUUUCUUUCUUUGCUCUUGAAGAUUUGCUAGAUAUGGUUGUUUUGUUUGUCCCUCGUCCCCUACUUGACAAACAUGAAAAAGAGAUAAAAUCCAAAAGGCAAGCAUAUACAUGACAUUUCAAAGAAGACAAAUAUCCGACUGGGCCCUAUUUCAUAGAGGCCGGAAUUGAUCGAGCAAUGCAAAACUGUAGGGAGUUUUUAGAUGCUAAGGCCAAAUCUCCGGUGCCUUUUGGGGACGCUUCAGUUGAUCCAAACUUUCUUUCUCAAGGUGGAGGCCUCCAAUGUCAAACUAUGUGAAAAUAAAUUUUGAUGGAGCUUGGAAAAAUGACUCGCAUUUGGCAGGGUUGGGUAUAGUUGCUAGAAAUGCUACCGGAUCUUUUUGUGGUGGUUUAGCAACUCCAUUCCAUUGCAACUUGGCUCUGGUUGCAGAGGCAGCUGCUGGCCUUUGCGCUUUCAAAUUUUCUAUGAAUCAUAUGUCACAUCCGGGGAUCGGCUCCGCCGUAGCACGAUAUUGUCCUCUUUGGGCCCCCCUUUCUGCCCUCACAAUUUUGUUUCUGGGAACUCACGAGCAACUUCCCAAUGGGUCACCCAUCCUUGGAUUGCUCUGGCCCCAACUCACUUAACUUCCGAGUUCCCCUGACUCCAAAACAAGUGAGCUCUCAAAAGGCCUCGUGCUAGAUGGAAACGGACAUGUACAUAUAAGGCACAUCACCCCCUCUCCGUUGGUCGAUGUGGGAUGUUACAAUCCAUCCCUCUUAGAGGCCCGACGUCCUCAUCGGCACACUCGCACCAUACGACAAAGUGGCUCUGAUACCAAAUUGUUAUAUCCCGGGAUCGGCUCCGCCGUAGCACGAUAUUGUCCACUUUGGGCCCCCCUCCCUGCCCUCACGGUUUUGUUUUUGGGAACUCACGAGCAACUUCCCAGUAGGUCACCCAUUUUGGGAUUGCUCUGGCCUCAACUCGCUUAACUUCGGAGUUCCCAUGAUUCUAAAGCCAGUGAGCUCCCAAAAGGCCUCGUGCUAGAUGGAAGCGGGCAUGUACAUAUAAGACACAUCACCCUCUCUCCGUUGGUCGAUAUGGGAUGUUACAUCAUAAUUUCACAUACAUUAUUCUCGAGACGAAUUUGAAGAUUCUGGUGGAAGGAGUCAGAGGAGGAGAAAAAAAAUGGUGUUUGGGCUAUCCAACCUCUUAUGGAUGAGUUUAAGAAGAUCUCUAUUUGUUUUAGAUCUGUUCUUUGGAGCUGGGUGCCAAGGAAAUUGAACCGCGCAGCGCACAAGGCUGCAUCGAUUGGAAUCAGAGCGGAGCAAUAGGAAAGUUGGGAUGUCAGGCCACCUCCGUCUCUUGUGGGAGUUCUAAUGGCCUCUCUUGUCCUCCAUGGAGGUUUUCAUAAAGAAUUGUUGCUUUAGUUUUGCUCUUUUGUGACUUUGGCUAUUUGUCUCGGCUCUCUGUAUGGAGCUUAGUUUAGCCUCUCUCUUGUUUGUUGUGUUUUAUUGGCGCUAUUUUAGCGUUCAGUUUAAUGAAGUUCUUAUUCAGACCGAAAAAUAAAAAACCAAAAAAACCUCCCAAUACAUGUCAUGUCAUGUUUUACUUUGUGUAAGGCCUCAUUCGAUUCUCGGAGAACAUUUUAGAAAAUCCGGAUAAAGUUUGAAAUAUUCAAACCAUAUGGGGAUGAUUAAUUAGAUUGGAUUUCAAGUAAAAUCUCCAAAACCAACUUAAUUGGAUAAUCACAAUGCAGAAGGUUCUCUAAACUUCAUGUAUUAUAUUUAUUGUCGGGGGCAUGCAUUUCUAACUAUAAAUACUUGUAAUAUGUGGAGUUGCAACGAACAAAUUUGUGAGUUUGAUUUGAGUAUUCAAAUAAAGUUAGUGCGGAUCUCUCUUUCAUAAGUGUCUUUCUCUAUGUUAAGAGUUUGUUUGCUUCGUUCUUCUAGUUCUCUACUUGUUAGGGCGGCACUAGAAGCAGAGUUUCGGGGUUUUCAGGUCUCUCCUAGCCACUUGGGAGACAGUGGACCUAUCUAUUUUCCAUCUCAAUUCUGUUCUCGAAGAAUUUUAGGGAUGUGCAUUGGUUCCAUCACCUUACGCUGCAUCACAUUGUCAUCAGUCAUUUGUAUCACCCCGGCAAGCAACAAAUUAUAUCCAAGUAGAACAUAGGAAUCGUUCUAGAAGAUUGUUCCAUAAAAAAGACAGAUGGCUUUGACAGAAGCCAGUGAUUAUAGUUGCAAGGUGAGGCUGGUUUGGACUUUUAAUUAGAAUAAUAAAUAAUCGAAAAUAAAGAAGUGGGAUAUAGAAAAGAGGAAUCAGAUUCUGUGCAAAAAAUUAGCUACAUAUCCGUUGUGUUAAUUAAUUAGAAAUAUAAAGCAUCUUCCUCGUGAAAUAUCAAACAUUAAAUUUGAAUUUGAUAAUUUAUAUUGCAAUUUAACAUGUAAUAGAGAGAGUUUUACAUUCUUCUCGACUUGUCAAAUUAAAAUGUUAUUUUAUUACGUAAUGUACUAGUUUAUUACUUUCUAGAUACGUUGAUUGAAAAUAAAUAAUUAUAUUAUAUUAUAUUAUUAAAUCCCUCCUCCUACAACUCUCACCAAAGUUUAUAUUCCUCGUAUCAUAUUAUAAAGCGAAUUACAUCACACAUUAAAAAACAAAAAAAUUGUAAGUCUAAAACAAAACUUUUGUAUUUCAUGUUUAGUUUUUAACUUCUUUUUUCUCAUUAAUUAAUUAAUUAAUUUAUUGAUAUAUGUGUGAUGGGAGGGGCAGAGAAUUCAUUUCCCCACUGAAAGAGGGGAUGAGGAGCCACCAAUUUGAAUAUUACAAAUAUGUAGGCCAAAAUAGGGGACAAAACUUUAACGAGAAUAGAAAUAGAAACGAUAUAUCCUUCCUUGAUUUGACCCAUUGCCAUUCCUAACUCUAUACAAAGACUUUGGGUCUUUAUUGUUGGUACACUAUCGAUAAUAUGUUGAUAUUAUUAUAGUUAGAAAAAGCGUUCCAACAUAUUAUCGAUAUAUUUUUGCAAAGAUAGAUAAAUAAAGACCUUUUUUAUUUUUAAAUCAAUACAUUGACAGUUUUCCACAUCCUUUUCUUCUUCAAUCAACUUAAUAAUUAAAACUUUUUUUUUAGAACAAUUGAUUAAUGUGUUGAUAUACACACAAGCUAAUUACCUAGUACGGACAAUUUUCCCCAACUUCCAUGAACGUGCAUAUCAAUAAGAUUAAUUUGAUGAUGAAAGUAGCAAGGUACCAGCAAAGACUUUUAACAUCAAACAUUUUCUUGAAGGCUCAUUUGGGUUGAGUCGUUGUCAGUGUCAUUGUUUUCAUUGUUUUUGGCUGUUAUGUUGGCACAACAAAAGUAGGCGGACUUCGUCAGUGAAGGAAAAAAUGUGAUAAAUUUCAGACUCUGUGUCCUUACUUUCCCAAUCCCCCUAAAUGCCAGCCAGAAAAAUCCUUGUCCCAUCAAAAGGACAUCUCCAUAUCAAAUAGACUUUUCUUUGUAUAUCAGGUGAAUAUCUUUAGAUGAUGGCUUAUAUAUUCUUUCUUGACAUGGAAAAAACAAAGAACGAAAAGUCUCCAAAAUCUCGUAGAUUUCUGGUUUUAUUAUUUUAUUAUUAUUUAUAUAAAAAAAUAUAAGUUUCACAUCGAAAACUUGAUUACAUACAAUACAAUAUAUAAUAAAUAAUAAAUAAUUUCACUACUAAUAUUACUGAAGCUUUCAACACUUAUUGAAUUUGGUAAGUGGUUAAAUUGAAAAUAAUAUCAAUAUUACUAGUAAUAAACUAUUAACUUGUAUUUUUAAAAUUCAACAUGAUAUCAUAACAGAUUGAUUGAUUUGACUGCUGCGUCUAUUAAGAAGAAGCAGCAAAAUGAAUAGUAUAAAGGAAAGAAGGCGGACCACAAAGGACUAAUUGGCCAAGAAAGUCCAUGGACUUCAAUAGACAACUUUGUUGUCCACAUUAAAGAAAGAAAAAAAUCAACUUUUCCUUGAGGAAAUUACCCUACAAGUCUACACAUUCUUUCUCCAUCUCCCUGAGUCUUUACAUAGUAGGAAUUAUAAGCAUCAAGCAAUUUACAGAGUAGAUAUUAUAAGCAGAUCAUUAAUCUAUUAAUUAACAAGCCAGAUUACAUAAUAAAAUACUUGCGGGCGCACACACGCACACACACACACACUAUAUUUUAUAUACGGUAGCUUAAUAAAUUCCCGCUUAGAGCGGUGACAUGAAUCAGCAACAAAAAAUCCUCCUCAUCACUGACCUCCUCCUUGGUGGAAUUACAGUGGCAGUAGCAGUAGCAGUUGUGUUUGGUCUGGAGCUGCAUGGCUUAGUGUCGUUGUUGUCGACCAUUUCUUCAGUUCUGUGGCACUGGUCAUCUUCCCCAUUUGAGAAUUUCAGGUUCAACGCCUUCCCUGCACCUGAAUUUGCCAUUGCCACUAUUUCUCUUUUUUAUUAGAGAGAAUGUGUGUGUGUGUGUUUGUGCACUAGUGCUGCUAAUUGUGUGUUAACCCUUAAACCUCCCCUUAGGAGAGAGUUUAAAUAGACUAGAACUGGGGCAGAAAAAAAGAAGUGGAUUCUUACGUAAGCCGUGACGCAUGCAACAAUGGUGAUUCUUAAGUAAGAAAUAGACAUAGUAAAUUAACCAAAUAUAUAAAUGUUAUUAUAUAUACGUAUAAAAUGUAACACUUGUAUUAGUGAUAAUGGUUAAACUAUAGUAUAGUGAUGUUUAGGACUUGACUGGGCCAGCUGGUCUUGUCAAGGUACAUUGAUCAACAGUCCACAUAAUUUGAUCGCUUUCAUAAUUAAUUUGCUUAAAAACAAUUGAUCAUGGCGAUAUUCUAAACUAAUCCACUUAUUUUUCAAAUUUCUCUCAUUAAUCCGACCAUUUCCGAUUUUGUAAUCAUGAUUAGAAGUGGGACAGAAAAUAAAAUAUUUUUGGGUAUUUUACCAUUUGCUUUAUUACAAAUUCUCUCUGGAAGUUUUUGUGACAAAAAUGAAUGGGAAAUGGGUUGGUGUUACAUCAAACAGCCAACAUUUCAAGAGAAUAAGUAUGAGACCAACAAAUAUAUAUUAAUAUAUUUAUUAGUAAAUAAAUAUUUAACAUGGAGAGAUCAUUAUUUAACCCUACUCGUUAAUUGUUUGUUUAAUUUUAUCUUUGGGCCAAAGCCCAAAACAACAAAGCAACCAAAAGAGGCCCAACAAAGGGAGGCAGGUAAAAGGCCUUUGAGCCCAACUCCUAACUUGAGUCCACACCACUACUCCAAAAAAGGGUGCAGUAGCAAAUGAUAGAGACAGCCACAACUCUCCAUCUGCCAAGCUUAGCUUAGUCCCAGAUAAUUAAGGAGCUCAUAAUUUGGUUUAAAAUAAACAAAAACAUAAUUUUAUUAAAUUAAGACACGUCUUUUUUCUUCUGUUCUUUUCUUUGAGUACGUAAAUAAUAGUAAAAAAAAUAUAUACAUAACCAGAGAGCUUCCAUUGAGGGAUCCCUCAAAUAAGCUUAUUUGAGGGACACCCCUUGUAGGCCCCACUCCGGAUUGUAUUUCACUAAUCCAAACCGUCUAUUUUGUAAAUACUCAUUCAAAGAUCAUCUCUACAAAAAAUCACUUGAAUCCGAUAUCAUGUGACCACUCAAUUGAGUUAUUGAAAUUUUAGUACUUUUCUUAAAGCACCGUGUUCAUUGAUUUUGUAAGACACAAUUGGAUGUCGAAACGGUUUCCGAUUUGUCUAAUUUUUUGUAAGGAUGAUCUAUGAAUGAAUACCUAAAAAAUAGAUGGUUUGGAUUAUUGGGAAAAGAAUUGUAAGGUACCCUAAAGGGCGUCCUUUUAUUUGAGGAAUCCCUCAAUAGAAAGGGACUGUAUACAUAACCAAGGAAAGAUACAAACAUUGGCACUUGUCUUUUCCUUUGCAGCUUGCAUGUAAAUUACUCGGAUGCUCUCUUAUGGGAUUAUGAGAGAGAGAGAGAGAGAGAGAGAGAGAGAGAGAGAGAGCAACAAAAAACAACAAAUUGAAGAUUGAGUAUCCUAGUCACUGGUUGGUGACAACUGACCGAUUGAUUAGGAUUUUCGAUGUGACACUGAAUAAUAAUAAAAUAAAAUAAAAACGAUUGAUGAAACUGCUGCCAAGGAGAUUGGAAACGCCUGAAAUAGCAUAAAUAAUGUUUAUACAUAUAUUCUAAAGUCAUGGUUUUCAACAACAUAUCACAUCUUCAUUUGAGCUGUAAAAUGGUGGGGUUGCACAGUGCAUUACUUAUAGCCUGGUUUUGUAACUUUCCACUAUUUAUAGGCAGGUGUUAUCUCUCUGGCUGGAAAAUUUAGAGUCAGAUGUGAUUGAUGGAUGGACUCCAUCUCCAUGGCCAGCAGAGCUCUCUCUGUUUUAUUCGUUUGGAUUUUUAUCCUCUCUGUUUUAGCUUACCAAUUUUACAUCAUCUACCAACUUCAAAAGCAUAUGUUUUUUUGGGUUGGUCCAUGAAAAUGGAACCCCACACAUUCACAUCGACACAAAACUUUGCUUUUCAAGCUUGGGGUUUAUCUUAAUUUCAUUGGGGAAAAUGGGGGUUACUGUGGAACUCCGGAUUAAUUAUAAGUCUCUAUGAAUCAAAUGAAGAAAGCAGAGAGAGAGAUAUAUCAUAUAUAUGUAUAAGAAGAUUGAGAUGAAAGAAAACCCAGGAAAAAUUUACAUCAGCAUGACCGCAAAUAUAAGCAGAAAACAGAAAAGCAUUCACAACCCUGAACUAAAAACAAUAAAACACCAGCUAUGGUGGUGGGCUUGGGUAAACUUGGUUGCUGGCGACCUUGUUGGCCUUCGAAGCAGAAGCUGAAGAAGGCCUAGUAGUAAUACUCUCUGAAACUGAAACAGAGCAAAAGCAUUGGACAAUUUGAUCAAACAUCAUCCUCUUCACUAACCUCUUCUUCACCGGGAACACACUUCCAGCUUUUGGUUUGAACAACCGUGGCUCAGCCUUGCUUUGAUCUUGAGAUGAACUCAACUUCAGCUUCAUGGGUUCCUUUGGGUGGUGGUGCUCUGUUUUGGGGCAGAGGAGGUCUUCUUCCCCAGCUGGCUUCAAGUUGUUCCACGCCUUCUCUACUUCUGAUGAAGUUUUCUUCAUUGCCAUGCCUGUAAUCUCUCUCUCUCUCUCUCUCUCUUUCUGUCUGUCUGAUUGUGGGCUUCCUUCUGGGUCGGUAUGUUUAUGAAGCCGUCUUUGAGUUUAAUAUAUGGACGAGAAAAGUUUGUUUCCUUUUCCAUUGUAGGCCCUGUCCAGAUUCCAUUGAAGGUAGGUAUGUGGGGACAUGCUGAGUAAGAGGAUAUGGUGUUUGACAAAGACAAGGACUAUGACGACUGACUUCUCUUUUUUACCCAAAAAAUAAAAAGAAAAAGAAAAAAGGGAAGGACUUCUCUUUAGACACUUGAAAGCAUACAAAAAAAAUUUGAAUAAGAGAAGGAAGCUUCGAUAAUCUUUUGUUAUUUUGUCAAACCUCUUGAAUCUAUGCUUUCAACAAGCAGAUUCCAUAUGACUUUAUGGAUAAAAAUGUAGGAAAAAACGUUUGGUUAGAAGUUGCCUGAUUGAUUUGUAUCUUCAAAGAAACGAUUUUUCUUAGGUGUUUUCACUUCAGUAAAUGCAUAGACUGGUAUUUUAUAGUUGCAGAGGUAUUGUUUUUGCUUAGCGCUUAGCGCUUAGCGCUUAGCGUGGGAGAGUAUCGGUUUCCUUUUUCACUUAGCGCUUUUUUAUAGUUAAAUUAUCAAUUUUUAGGUUUAGUUUAAUUCAAAAUCUAACAAUUCACUUGUAAGAUAAAUUUAACCAUUUCUAUUUUAAAAUCCUAAGUCGGUCCUUAAGUGUACCAAAGUCAAAAAUUAAUUUGUUCUUAGAUUGAUAAUGUCCUCGUACGAAAGCCCAAGUUGCCACUCGUGUAUCACUCUCAGAGAACGUACUAGUUGGACUGGUAAUGGAAUAAUAGAAUAAAUUAUUCAGUGCCACAUGUAUGAGGGAGGGAGUAGAUUCUAUUACCCAGAUCUCAAUGAAGACGUUUCCUAAAUUCUCUUUUAUUUUUAUUUUUUAUGUUUGGGUGUUGGAGAGUCUCCUGCUCAAUUCCUCUUCUUUAUUAAGGUUUGAGGUCAUCCGUAGUUUGUUGUUAACCAAGUUGACCUUGUUUAAAUGUGAUUGAUGCAGUAAAAAUAGUUUAUUUCUUUUUAGCAAUUGGUAUUUUACAAUUUAAAAGCUUCGAGCUAAUUUUCAAGAGUUUGAUAUCACAAGAUAAAAUAGAAAAUAUAUCAAAGUGCAUGCAAUAAAAAUUAAAUUUUUCUCUCCAAAUAGGUUCUAUAGCGGCUUUUUAUUUAUUUAUAACUUAUAGUUUUGUUGUAGCUAUAUCUUCGAAUCUUCAAACCAUUCUGCGUUUCCAUUCCAUGAGCUUGCUUGGACCUAUUAAAAUACAAAGGUGCCCUAAAAAGGCUUUUACUUUAAAAUACAAAGGUGCCCUAAAAAGGCUUUUACAUGAUAGAUUUUCUUCACGUGCUUGUAGCUUUCAAUAUUACUGCUCCCCCAUGUUCUAAAGUUCAAUUCCACCCGAGAAAAAGUACCCUUCAGUGUCGAGGGCCAUCUUUCUAAUUAGUCUGAUUUGAUUGGAAAUAAUUAGCACUUGGUUAAGCCAAUUAACACGGUCCAUGAUUUUCUUUAUUUUUUAUUUUUUUUUUGGUGGUCAAAAUGUUAAUCUAACCUACUCGUUCAUUAAUUUUUAUUUUUAUUUUAUCUUUGUAACCAUGGCCAGAGCCCAAAACAAUAAAGCAAGAUUAACUAAUAUAAUAAUAGCCAAAAGAGGCCCAGCAGAGGAAGACAAGUCGAAGGCCUUUGAGCCCAAUUCUAAACUUAAGCCCAGAAGCGAUGUUUUUUAAAACAAUCGAUAGUGGAGGAGGGGCGAAUUAAACCUAAGACCUCAAGUGCAUAUGUAAAUGUUUUUAACCGCUUGAACAACAAACCUUUUUGCAAGCUAGUCUCCGAAAAUGAAAGAGCUCAUAAUUUGGUUUGAAAAAAAAACACUAUUUUAUUAAAUUAAAGAGGCUUUUCCCCUUGACGCAGCACAAGCAACAAAGGUUUCAAGCGAAACCUUGAGUAACAAGAAAUCUGGAUUCCACCAGAAAAUUAAGAGGAAUUCUCUUGGGAUAAUUUUAUUAAAAUCUGAGGUUAUUAGAAACGUCAGACCAACCUGUCUAAAUACGCAACUCUCAAUCCUUGAACUGCUAGGGGAGUUAUUACAUUAAAACUGAAAAACAGAAUUAAUUCGGAGACUUAACUACGUAACUCCGAAACUGAAAAACAGAAUUUAUUAGGAUAAUUAACUACGAAACUUUGAAUGCAGUUUUGGAAGGCCAAACGACCUCAGAAUGCCAAAAUCCAUCGUACAUCACAGCAAAACUGUGAUUUAACUCGUGGCGUCGUUCCCUUUCCGAAAUGGUAUUUUGCGUCCUAAUCGGAGCUCGGACAACAAAUCUUCAAAUUCCUGCUACGUCCUUUUUCUAGCUCAACCGCGAUAAAAUCUGCCAUCUAUUCUACAUCACCCCUUUUUUGCGUGUCUAACAUGAGUGUUAGAAUGCAUUGCAAUCUGCAUAUUCUAGCUUUUCUGGCUAGUCUUUACUGUUUCGAGUUGUAAAAUGGGGGUCUUCCAAUUCCACAACUUUUUCAUCUACUUUUGUAAUGAACUUCCUCUCUAAUCAAGGACCAUGCGACAAAGAAGAGGAAAAGGGGAAAAGCCUUUUGUAAUUCAUUUUUAUUUUUGUUUUUAUUUCAUCAUUGUGGCAAAGAUGAAAGGCAAUAACACCAAAACAAGCUUAACUAAGAACAAACAUUAAACUUGAGUUUGAUGGUUUAUGUGGCAAUUUGAAAUAUAUAAUAGAGUUUUACAUUCUUCCCGGUAUGUCAAAUUAAAAUAUUAUUUUAUUAUACAAAAUUUAUAAUUUAUUACCUUCUAGGCAUGUUAAUUGAAAAUAAAUUAUUAUAUUAUAUUAUAUUGUUCAGCCCCUCCUCCUAUGACUUCCACCAAAUUUUAUAUUCCUCGUAUUAUAUUAUAAAUUGAAUUAUAUCAUACAUUUUUAUAAUAAAAAAUUAGUAAGUCUAAAACACAGCUUUUGUAUAAUGUAUGGUUAGUUUUUAACUUCUUUUUUCUCAUUAAUUAAUUAAUUUUUUUAUUGAUAUAUUUGUGAUGGGGCGGAGCGGGGACUGAAGGAGGGGAUGGGGACAGGAGUCCCCAUUUUGAAUAUUAUAGGUAUGUAGGCUGAGAUGGGGGAUGAAAUAUUAACAAGAAUGGGGAUGGUAACGACAGACUUUUCUCCGAUUCGCCCCAUUGUCAUUUCUAACUCUAUACAAAUAUAUAAUCGAUAAUAUGUUGACAUUAUUAUAAUUAAAAAAAGCAUUCCAACAUAUUAUCGAUAUAUUUUUGCGAAGAUGGAUAAAUAAAGACCCCACAUCCAGCGUUGAGAAUUUAUAAUCAACACAUUGAUAGUUUUCCGCAUCCAUUUUUUCAAUCAACUAAAUAAUAAACCUUUUUUUUUAAGAUAACAACACUAUGAUUUUGUAUUUUCUUAACUUGGAAUCAGCAUGUAUAUAUGAACACAUGAAUUGAUAAAUUUACCCACUAAAGCAUUUACAAUGGGUUUUUUAAACUACAUUUUAAGACAAAUUUUAGGGAGGAAUUGUAAAAAUACAACUCCAACCAUGCUCCCUAUCCACCUCUUAAAAUAGGGAGACCUCUAGAAGCUCCUAAAUAUGAGAAGAGAUAAAGGACUCCUAAUGGCUCCCUAUAAUUUAAUACUGUUUUAUUUAAUGAGUAUUUCAAACUUUUAUUUAAUACUAACUAUUUUUUAUUUUAUUUUAUAAUAGAGAUGGACCAAUCAAAAAAGAGUUAUAGUAUUUAUGACUCCCUAAACUAGAGAGUAUGAUUGAAGUUUAAAUUUUAUGGAGAGUUCCUAAAAUAACUUUUAUAUGUUUUUACCUAAAAUUUAACUAAAAAAUAGAGAGCAUGAUUGUAGAUGCUCUAAAAUGGGAUGCGUUUUGACUACUUUUUGGACCCUUACUAUACACUACACAAAAUCGUAUAUGCUAACCCUUCAAGACGUACUUUGAUUUUCAUCUAAGAGCAUCUCCAAGGGGAGAUGUCAAAUACAAAAUAUUAAAUUUGUAUUUGAUGGCCUAUGUGGCAAUUUGAUACUUUGAAAAAAAUUUAACCCCACUCGAAAUGUCAAAUAAUCUUGCAUGUCUUUAGGUUGGAAGUUGAGAGGUUUUUCUGUCUUUUUUGAAACAGCUUUGGCUUUUUCCAAAAGUGAAAGUUUUUUAAUAGCUAAAACUUAAAUGGACUUAUUAUUUUAUUAUAUUUUAAAAAGCAAAUGGGGCCUAUGAUGGACAAAUUUUAAAAAGUAGUAAAUGAUAGUGGAGUCCAUGACUAAAAAAAUAUUAAAAUAAUUUCUAGCCUUCAAAUUCAUGUAGGAUUUAACUACUCGGUUGAAGCAACUUUAACUUUCAAUUUUUGUCAUUUCAUGUCCACAUGACAAUUUAACACAUCGAUUGAAAAUACUUUAAGACAUUUAUAUUAUUUUAGUCCUCAGUAACAUUAACGACAUCUUGCAAGAAAUUUGUAGAACAAUUGAUUAAUGUAUUGAUAUACACACAGGCUAAUUACCUAGUACGGACAAUUUUCCCCAACUUCCAUGAACGUGCAUAUCAAUAAGAUUAAUUGGAUAAUGAAAGUAACAAAAGUCGUUAUCAUUGUCAUUGUUUUUGGCCGUUAUGUUGGCACAACAACAGUCGGUCGUCUUCGUCAAUUGGGCUUGGUGUUGCCGACACUGAAUGUGAAAGAAUGUCCAAGUGUGAUAAAUUUCAAACUCUUACUUUCCCAAUCCCACUAAAUGCCAACCAGAAAAUUCCUUCUUCCAUCAAAAGGACAUCUCCAUAUCAAGUAAACUUUUCUUUGUAUAUUAGGUGAAUAUCUUUCUUGACAUGGAAAAAAAUAAAGAAUGACAGGUCUUCAAAAUUUCGUAGAUUUCUAGUUUUAUCAUUUUAUUAUUAUUUAUGUAAAAGAAUAUAAAUUUUACAUCGAAAAUUUGACUACAUACAAUACAAUACACAACAUAUAAUAAAUGAUUCUACUACUAAUAUUACUAGGUCUUUGACAAUUACUGGAUUUUAUAGGUGAUUAAAUUAAAGGCAACAUCAGUAUUACUAUUAAUAAACUAUUUACCUGUAUUUAUGAAAUUCAACAUGAUAUCAUAACAAAUUGAUUGAUUUUAUUGUUGGGGCUGUUAAGAAGAAGCCGCAAAAAAAAAUAGUGAAAAGGAAAGAAGGGCGACCACAAAGGACUAAUUGGCCAAGAAAGUGCAUGGACUUCAAUAGACAACUUUGUUGUCCACCAUUAAAGAAAGAAAAAAUCAGCUUUUCCUUGAGGAAAUUACCCUGCAAGUCUACACAUUCUUUCUCCAUCUCCCUGACAGUUAAAGAAAGACGCUUUACAUAAUUAUAAAGAACGAAAACUUUACUUUCCAUCCUCGUAUGUGGAAAGUAGGUAAUAAUGUUCGCAUGUAAAUACUUAAGGAACGUAAGUCACACACCUUUUUUCCUUCUUAUUUGAGAGUGGUUUUGGAUAGGUCAAUAAUCACUUCUCUAUAUAAUUAUACUCAGAAUCACUUUAAAAUCACUAAAUGUAAUUAUAUGAAAAAGCGUGGCUUAUCCAAAAUCACUUCCAAACAAGCUUGUACACAGUAGGAAUUAUAAGCAUCAAGCAACUUAUAGAGUAGGAAUUUUAAGCAGAUCAUUAAUCUAAUAAUUCACAAGCCAUAUUGAUAAUCAAGAGUUAAUUUGUUUCAAUAUUACAUAAUAACAUACUUGCGAGCACACACACUACGUUUAAUAUACGGUAGCUUAAUAAAUUCCCGUUUAGAGCGGUGACAUGAAUCUCAGCAACAAAAAAUCCUCCUCAUCACUGACCUCCUCCUUGAUGGAAUUACAGUGGCAAUAGCAGUUGUGUUUGGUCUGGAGCUGCAUGGUUUAGUGUCGUUGUUGUCGACCAUUUCUUCAGUUCUGUGGCACUGGUCUUCUUCCCCAUCUGAGACUUUCAGGUUCAAUGCCUUCCCUGCACCUGAAUUUGCCAUUGCCACUAUUUCUCUUUUUUAUUAGAGAGAAGGUGUGUGUGUGUUUGUGCACUAGAGCUGCUAAUUGUGUGUUAACCCUUAAUAAACCUCCUCUUAGGAGAGUUUAAAGAAGAAGUUGAUUCUUAAGUAAGCCGUGACGCAUGCAACAAUGGUGAUUCUUAAGUAAGAAAUAGUGAUUAGUGAUAAUGGUUAAACUAAAGUAAAAGUAGUGAUGUUUAGGACUUGGCCAGUUGGUCUAGUCUUGGUACAUUGACUAACAGUCCACAUAAUUUGAUCGCUUUCGUAAUUAAUUUGCGUAAAAAUAAUUGACAAUGGAGAUAUUCUAAACUACCCCACACGAUUGUUUUGGAAUUUUCUCUCAUUAAUCCGACCAUUUCCGAUUUGGUAAUUCUCAUUAGAAGGUGGGACAGAAAAUAAAAUAUUGUUUGGUAUUUUACCAUGUGCUUUAUUACAUAUUCUCUCCCCAAUUCCUUCUGGAAGCUUUUGUGACAAAAAUUAAUGGGAAAUGGAUUGGUGUUACAUCAAACAGCCAACAUUUCAAUAGGGUUCCUCCUUGGAUCCCGGCCAACAUACAAAAAUUUGCUCCUUAAUUACCUGGGACUAAGCUUAGCUUGGCAGAUAGGAGAGUGGUGGGUGUCUGUAUCAUUUGCUUCGGCACCGUUUUUGGAGUAGUGGUGUGGACUUUAAGUUUGGAAUAGUACGGAUAUAUCAUGUCAACGUGUGAUAAUCCGCGCAAACAUUGCACAGUGAAUUCUAGCAUGGUUUUGUAACUUUCCCCUUUUUUUUCUAGGCAGGUGUUUGUCUCUUUGGCGGGAAAAUUUGGAGUCAGAUCAUGGCCAGCAGUGUUAAGAUUUUAUCUAGUUACAGCAGUUGUUUUUAAUUAAAUAAACUGAUUAUCCUAUUCUGUAGGAAGUCAUGUUGCAUGUUGUUAUGUUUACCAAGUCUUUAGGAGUCUCCCAGUAGUGGAGCAGUUUGUUAGUAGUGUCAGUAAUGGAUUAAGUUAGUAGGAGUCAUGUCCUUGAAUUUAAUAUAGUCUAGUGAUGUAACAUUCUAUUUAAGUUCAACCUUAUCAAUAUACAAAUAACGCUUUCCAGCACAUCUUCUCGCCAGUGUUUGGAUUUUGAGUUUAACUCUACAUCUGGUAUCAGAGCUCCCCACUGGGGCCUGACAUAAAAGUUCUCACAAAAGCAGUAAGCUAUUAUUGCACUUACGGCAGUAAGUUACUAUGGCGUCUGACAAGGUUACAGACAACUAUGUGCAGUCAGCCAUAGCACGCUUUGAUGGUCAUUAUGACCAUUGGAGCAUGUUGAUGGAGAAUUUUCUGAGGUCUAAAGAAUACUGGACUCUUGUGGAAACCGGUAUUGUAGACCCGAAAAGUAGAGUGGUGUUGACGGAGCUACAACAAAAGAAAUUGGAUGAAUCUAAGCUGAAAGAUCUGAAGGUGAAAAAUUACUUAUUCCAAGCUAUUGAUCGUUCCAUUUUGGAGACCAUUCUCCAAAAAGAUACUUCCAAGCAAAUUUGGGAUUCCAUGAAGAAGAAUUACUAGGGCUCAACAAAGGUGAAGCGUUCCAUUCUGCAAGCACUGAGGAAAGAUUUUGAGACUCUUCAGAUGAAACAAAGAGAGUCUGUCGAUGAUUAUUUUUCAAAAGUAAUGGCAAUUACAAAUAAGAUGAGUAUCCAUGGCGAGAAGAUAGAAGACGUGACCAUCGUAGAAAAGAUCCUGCGAUCUAUAACUACAAAGUUUGAUUACGUUGUGUGCUCCAUUAAGGAGUCCAAUGAUGUUGAGCAGCUUUCAAUUGACGAGUUGCAGAGUUCCUUGCUUGUCCAUGAGCAGAAGAUCAAUCGGAGUACAUCUGAGGAACAUGCCUUGAAAGUUUCAACAAAUAGCGAUUCUUCGGCAGCAAGAGGUCGUGGUGGUCGUGGACGAGGACGUGGUAGAGGUGGCAGCCAUGAAAGAGGUUGAGGUAGCAGAGAUGGGAACAAAUCCAAUGAUGAUUCCAGCAACAAAGACAUUUAUGAUUCCAGCAGCAGCAAUAGAGGCUAUAAUAAUUCUGAAGGUAACAGCAGCAGAGGCCAAAGGCAGCCAUACAAUCAUGAUUCGAAUGUCGAUAAAUCAAAUGUCGAGUGUUUCAGGUGUGGCAAUUAUAGUCAUUACAGAUCUGAAUGUUACACAAAUAUGAAUAAAGCAAAGGGUGCAAGGGCCAAUUUUGUAGAGAAAGAGAAAGAAGAUGAUGAGGCUAUUCUAAUGGUGUGUCAAACCAUGGAAAAACCACAAAAGAAUGUGUGGUACUUAGAUACAGGUUGCAGUAAUCACAUGUGUGGAGAAGAGUCAAUUUUUUCUACAUUAGAUGAAAGUUUCACAACUACAGUGAGAUUUGGAGAUGACAGCAAAGUUUCCGUUUUGGGAAAAGGAGAUAUCAAAAUUUGGGCUAAAGAUAACAUUGUCCAUACUAUCUCUAGUGUUUUCUUUGUUCCGAGUUUGAAUAGCAAUUUGCUGAGCUUGGGACAACUGCAUGAAAAGGGAUAUGAGAUCAAGAUUACAGGAGGAGCUUGUCAAAUUCAUGAUCAAAAAAGGGGCCUAAUUGCUAAGGCUUACAUGACGACAAAUCGAAUGUUUCCAUUACAUAUUCAAAGUGAUGGUCCUACAUGUUUCUCUGCCAAAGUCAAUGAUCCAGCGUGGCUGUGGCAUUUACGCUAUGGUCAUCUGAAUUUUAGAGGUUUAAAGACGCUACAUGAUAAGGAGAUGGUGACUGGCCUUCCUCAGAUAACCUGUCUAACUGAAGUUUGUGAAGUUUGUGUUGUUGGAAAACAACGUAGGGAAACCUUUUCGAAGGGAAAAGCAUGGCGGGCUAGAAGACCUCUUGAGCUGGUCAAUUCAGAUAUUUGUGGGCCAAUAACUCCAGCUUCAAAUGCCGAAAAAAAGGUACUUUAUAACGUACAUUGAUGAUUACAGCAGGAAAACAUGGGUUUAUUUCUUACAGGAGAAAUCAGAAGCCUUAAAUGCUUUCAAACACUUAAAGGCGGCUGCUGAGAAUGAGAUAGAGAAGACGAUCAAGGUUCUUCGAACUGAUCGUGGUGGAGAAUACAAUUCAAAAGCCUUUGAAAAUUUUUGUGCUAUACAUGGCGUUCGCCGACAGCUUACGGCAGUUUACACACCACAGCAGAAUGGUGUGGAGGAGAGGAAGGAUCGUACCAUAUUAAAUAUGGUAUGCAGUAUGCAAACAAAAAGUUCCAUUCCAAAGAGUUUAUGGCCGGAAGCUAUAAACUGGAGCAUUCACAUACUGAACAGAAGUCCAACUUUUGAUGUUCGUGAUUUGACACCUGAAGAGGCAUGGAGCGGCCGUAAACCAACAAUUGGUUACUUCAAAGUUUUUGGUUGCAUUGCAUAUGCACGUAUUCCAGACGAGAAAAGGAAGAAGCUUGAUGACAAAGAUGAAAAAUAUGUCUUUCUUGGCAUAAGUGAAGUUUCCAAGGCGUAUAAGUUAUUCAAUCCUGUGUCCAAAAAGAUUAUUAUUAGCCGAGAUGUUAUAUUUGAUGAAGAAAAGACAUGGAAUUGGAAUGAUGAUGUUCCUCAGCAGCAACAGCAGAACAUUCCAGUUAAUUUUGAUGACAACGUGGAACAGCAGCAGCCACAACAGUGUAUUCCGGCACCAACUUCUUCAGUUGUUCCAGCACCAGUUGUUCCGCCAAUUGGAGCUCAGGUUGCAAGUUCAUCUAGUGCACGACCUCAACGUUUAAGGAAGCGGCCUGCAUGGAUGAUAGAUUCUGAAUGGGUGUUUGAUUCCGUUAGUGGAAGUGAAGGAAGUGAUGAUGAUCCAUUUGUUCACUUUGCUUUGUUUGCAGAUUCUGAUCCUGUGUCAUUUUCUGAUGCCGUAAGAGAACCAAAGUGGCAGAAAGUCAUGGAUGAGGAAAUCAAAUCUAUUGGGAAGAACAAUACUUGGGAGUUGACAAAGCUUCCACAAGGCACAAGACGAUUGGUGUCAAAUGGGUCUUUAAGACAAAGCUGAAUGAGAAGGGUGAGAUUCAUAAGCACAAAGCACGCUUGGUGGCGAAAGGUUACAAGCAAGAGUAUAGCGUUGAUUACACAGAAGUGUUUGUGCCAGUGGCAAGGCAUGACACAAUUCGAAUGGUGAUUUCAGUGGUGGCACAAAACUCAUGGCCUAUCUUCCAACUGGAUGUGAAGUCUGCAUUUUGACAUGGGGAAUUGCAAGAACAUGUUUAUGUUGAGCAGCCAGUAGGUUAUGUUCAGCCAGGGAAGGAAAGACAAGUUUACAGGCUUAAAAAAGCUUUAUAUGGGCUGAAGCAAACUCCCAGAGCUUGGUACAGCCGCAUAGAGGCAUAUUUUGCAAGAGAAGGAUUUCAAAAAUGUCCAUAUGAGCAUACACUCUUUACAAAAUCUGGAGAGGAAGGGCAGAUACUCAUCGUGUGCUUGUAUGUGGACGAUCUGAUCUAUACAGGUAAUGAUGUGGCCAUGUUUAAUGAUUUUAAGAAAUCCAUGAUGCAUGAGUUUGAUAUGUCUGAUCUUGGAUUGAUGCACUAUUUUCUUGGUAUAGAAGUAGUACAAUCUAGUGCCGGAAUAUUUAUUUCACAGAAGAAAUAUGUUUAAAAGAUCUUAGACAUGUUUGAGAUGAAGGAUUGCAAUUCAGUUUGUACGCCAACUGAAAUUGGCUUGAAACUAGUGAAGACUUCUGGGGAGAAGAAGGUUGAUCAAACUCUCUACAAACAGAUUGUAGGAAGUCUGAUGUAUUUGACCGCACCUAGGCCAUACAUACAACAUGCAGUGAGUCUCUGUAGCAAAUAUAUGGAGUGUCCGGAAGUGCCUCAUUUGGCGGCAGCAAAAAGAAUUUUUCGUUACCUAAAGGGCACAAUUGAUUUUGGAAUAUUAUACAAGAAAUGAGCUAAAUCAGGUUUGUUUGGCUUCACUGAUAGUGACUAUGUAGGAGACCCAGAUGAUAGGAGAAGCACCUCAAGUUAUGCAUUUAUAAUGGGAGCAUGAGCUAUUUCAUGGUCGUCCAAAAAACAACAGAUUAUCACUCUGUCAACCAAUGAAGCUGAGUUUAUUGCAGCAGCAGCUUGCGGCUGUCAAGCUAUUUGAUUGAGUAGGAUACUUGAAGAAUUACGUGGUUUGCAAGACGGUCCAACUCCUGUCUAUUGUGAUAACAAUUCAACAAUCAAGUUGUCCAAGAAUCCAGUUUUACAUGGCAGAAGCAAACACAUUGAUGUUCGCUACCAUUUCCUGCGCGACCUCACAAAGGAUGGAACAAUUGAUUUAAUCUACUGCAGAAGUGAAGAUCAGGUAGCUGAUAUUCUAACCAGGCCUCUCAAAUUACUGGCGUUCUCGAAGCUAAGGAGAUUGUUAGGAGUUUGCUCUGUGAAGGAUAUUGCUUGAAGUCAGAAGCUAUAGUGCGAAGGUUUCUCUCUAAACUGAUUGUUCAAGGAAUAUUUAGUUUAAGGGAUGGUGUUAAGAUUUUAUCUAGUUACAGCAGUUGUUUUUAAUUAAAUAAACUGAUUAUCCUAUUCUGUAGGAAGUCAUGUUGCACGUUGUUAUGUUUACCAAGUCUUUAGGAGUCUCCCAGUAGUGGAGCAGUUUGUUAGUAGUGUCAGUAAUGGAUUAAGUUAGAAGGAGUUAUGUCCUUGAAUUUAGCAUAGUCUGGUGAUGUAACGUUCUAUUUAAGUUCAAACUUAUCAAUAUACAAAUAACGCUUUCCAGCACCUCUUCUCACCAGUGUUUGGAUUUUGAGUUUAACUCUACAAGCAGUGCUCUCUCUGUUUUAUUCAUUUGAUUUUUUAUUCUCUCUGUUUUAGCUUACCUAUUUUCACAUCGUAUACCAACUUCAAAAGCGUAUGUUUGUUUUGGGUUGGUCCAAGAAAACGCAACCCACAAACCCCACACAUUCACAUCGACACAAAACUUCGCUUUUCAAGCUUAAGGUUUAUCUUAAUUUCAUUGGGGAAAAUGGGGGUUACUGUGAAACUCCGGAUUAAUUAUAUGUCUACUUGAAUCAAAUGAAGAAAGCAGAGAGAGAGAGAUAGAUGAAGAUUGAGAUGAAACAAAACCCAUCAGUCUAAGAAAACCAGGAAAAUUUUACAUCAACUCCACGAAAAUAGCAGAAAACAGAAAAACAAUCACAACCCUGAACUAAAAAGAAUAAAACACCAGCUAUGGUGGUGAGCUUGGGUAAACUUGGUUGCUGAUGAUGAUGACCUUGUUGGCGUUUGAAGCAGAAGCUGAAGAAGGCCUAUUAGUAGUGUUGUCUGAAACUGAAACAGAGCAAAAGCAUUUGCACAAUUUGAUCAAACAUCAUCCUCUUCACUAACCUCUUCUUCACCGGGAACACACUUCCAGCUUUUGGUUUGAACAACCAUGGCUCAGCCUUGCUUUGAUCUUGAGAUGAACUCAACUUCAGCUUCAUGGGCUCCUUUGGGUGGUGGUGCUCUGUUUUGGGGCAGAGGAGGUCUUCUUCCCCAUCUGGCUUCAAGUUGUUCCACGCCCUCUCUGCUUCUGAUGAAGUUUUCUUCAUUGCCAUGCCUGUAAUCUCUCUGUCUGUCUGAUUGUGGGCUUCCUUCUGGUUCGGUGUGUUUAUGAAAGCCGUCCACGAGUUUAAUUUAUAGACAAGAAAAAAUUGUUUCCUUUUCCAUUGUAGGCCCUACUAAAGAAGGACCAUUAUUUUUUACCCAACAAAAACAGAAAAAAGGAAUGACUUCUCCUAAUUUGUUCUCUUAUAGUCUUGGACACUUGAAGACAGAAAUAAAUUUGGAAAAAGACAAUCCACUCGUACGAUAAAUUUAACAUCCUGAGUCUGUCCUUAAGUGUAGCAAAGUCAGAAAUUAAUUUAUUCUUAAAUUGAUAAUCAGUCUCAGAGAGCAACCUACUUGGACGAGUUCGGAUAUUCACACCAAGAACAGCAGUCAUGUCAUAUAUAGGUGCCCACUAAAAUACAAGGUGCCCAAGAAAUAAUUCUGCGUUUCCAUUCCAUGAGCUUGCUUGGACGCUGCCUACUAAAAUACAAAGGUGCCCAAAAAAUGGCUUUUACAUGACGAUAUUUUCUUCACGUGCUUUUAGCUUUCAAUAUUAUUGCUCCCCCUUUUUUUUUAACAGUUCAAAUUCCACCCGAGAAAAAGGUGCCCCUUCUGUGUCGAGUGUCAUCUUUCUAACGAGUCUGAUUUGAUUGGAAUAAUUAGCACUUGGUUAAGCCAAUCAACACGGGCCAUGAUUUUCUUUAUUUUUUUACCAUCAUUUUUUUUGUUGUCAAAAUGUUAAUCUAACCAAGUGUUAAUUGGCUUAGCCAGUUCAUUGUUUUUUAUUUUUAUUUUAUCUUUGUAACUAUGGCCAGAGCCCAAAACAAUUAAGCAAGCUUAACUAAUAUAAUAAUAGCCUAAAGAGGCCCAGCAGAGGGAGACAGGUCGCAGGCCUUUGAGCCCAAUUUCUAAACUUAAGCCCAGAAGCGAUGUUUUUUUAACACAGUCGAUGGUGGAGGAGGGGCGAAUCAAACCUAAGACCUCAAGUACAUGUGUGGCUAGUCUUACUGUUUCAAGUUGUAAAAUGGGGGUCUUCCGAUUCCACAACUUUUGUAAUGAACUUCCUCUCUAAUCAAGGACCAUGCGACAAAGAAGAGGAAAAGGCAUUUCACUUAUGGAAAAAAUAAAACUGUAAUGACCUGAAAAUGGCAGAUAUUAUUUGUGGUGUUGCAUCUAUAUAUAUAAAGCAAAAGGUAGAGAAUGGUGAAACAUUCAAAAUACCAGAAAAUGUCCUUUGUUAAUUCAAACAUUAAGAAUUGAAAUUAUUAAUUAAAUGAGGAUAAUAUGGUAAAUUCAUAUUUUUUAAUAUUAAAAAAAUUAAAAUUAAAAACAAAAUAAGAUAAUAGGUCCUACUUUUAUGGAACAUAACUACCCUGUUAUCUUUUAUUAAUUCUAAAAAUAAAAUAAAAAAGAAAAAGAAAAUCAAUUGGCACAUACGUGAGCAUGUGUCAAGGGGCUAGUAUUGAAUAAUAGAUGAAUUAGCUUAGCCUGGUUUUCUAAUUUUCCACUUUCUAAGUUACAACUCAAUUCAUUUUUGUUUUUGUUUUUAUUUCAUCAUUGUGGCAAAGGUCAAAGGCAAUAACACCAAAGCAAGCUUAACUAAGAAUAGCCUGGUACCUGGUAGAAGGAGACGGGUCAAAGGCCUCUGAGCACAACUCCAAACUUAAUAGCUAAGGACCACACCAAACUAAAUUAAGCUUUUUUUUUCUUCUUCUUUAUACAAGUGAUUGGGGAAUUGAGGUUUACACAAAUAUUUAUUGGGUGUCUAAGAAUUUAAACCUCAGCUCAUAUGGGAGUGAAAGCAAUGGUGGAACUAUAAAUUUUUUGGUGUGUACUAAAAUUAUUAAUUUUUUUUGUAUGGGAGAUCUAUAUAAACAAUGAGAACUAAUUUAUUAUUAUUAUUUUUUGGUAUGCUAAUUGAUACAGUGAGAACCAAGUGGGAAUCAAAAACUGAAAUUGUGGAAGUAGAAGCACGAACAAAAUUGUACAAUUCAUAGCAGUAGCAUAUCCAAAAAAAUUUAAACAGAGGCAUAAACACUAAAGCUUUGUUGCACUUGUAGCAGGCAUGUUUACGUAUCACUAAUGGAGAAAGUAAAGAAUAAGAGAAUUUAGGAAUCAGGGAGUAUUGAAUCGGUAUGGAAAGAAUCAUUCCCAUUAAGCAGUUUACUAAACAUAUGAAAUUAGCAAAGGAAUGAGGUUGAUUCUCAUUGUUAUUGUUUACUAAUUUUUAUGAAUCAGAAUCCAAAUUAAUUUGAUUACUAAAAUGCCCUGCACAUUUUCACCACAUCACAUAUAAUUCUCAAAUUGGCUAAGGAUACCAAACUAAUCCUACAGCAAACUAGUAAGAUGGUGUAAACAGGAGGAAUCAAUAUGUUAAACAAGAUGAACAUCAAGAGCCUAAUUCAAUGAUAAUUUUAAUAACACCUUUGUCCAGAGCCAAUUUCAAACAAAAAAAUAAACUCCAAUAACACCUUGGAGCGUCUUUGAACUUCUUAGUGUGAGUUUUUUUUUUUUUUUAAGGGUUUGGGGUGUUUUGGAAUUAUGGUAAAAUGGUAAGGGUAUUUUUGGAAGUUAAUAAGGGAAAACAUGAAUGAGAAUCGUAUCAACUACCUCCCUCUAGUUGAUCUGAUACCUAAUUUUGAGGGGAUGUGAUUACGGAUUUUGAGGUACGGCCCACUUAUUUUUUCAUUCCUGAUUGCAAGUAAACGCAGGGGAAGUCAGGAAUGGAAAUCAUUCUCUUUCCUUCCAUACCCAUUACUGAUACGUAAACAUGCCAUGGAUGUGAACUUGCAAAUCAGAAGAAGAAGAAAAGAGAAGAAAACAAUGGUUUCCUACUCACGUGGUCUCCAAACCACAAAGUAAUUAAAAAAAAAACAAGUUAUACAUAUAUACACACUAGCCCCUUGGCACAUGCUCACGUAUGUGCCAAUUGGUUUUAUUUUUUAUUUUUUAUUUUAUUUUUAGAAUUAAGAAAAUAUAAUAUGGGUAGUUAUAUUACAUAAAAGUAUGACAUAUUAUCUGAUUUUGUUUUUAAUUUUAAUUUUUUUAAUAUGAAAAAAAAUGUGAAUUUACCAUAUUAUCCUCAUUUAAUUAAUAAUUUUAAUUCUUAAUGUUUGAAUUAACCAAUGCCAUUUUCUGGUAUUUUGAAUGUUUCAUCAUUCUCUGUCUUUUGCUUUAUAUAUACUAGUCUCCCUGCACACACGCUUCUGUGCUUGCGAGAGGUUUUUUAUAUAAAAAAAGCCUAAAUUUAUUUUAGAAUCAAAAAGAUAAUGGGUAGUUGUGUUUCAUAAAAAUAUGAUUCAUUAUCUUCUUUUUUUUUCUUUUUUUUAAUAUGAAAAAGUGUGAAUUUACCAUAUUAUCCUCAUUUAAUUAAUAAUUUUAAUUCCUAAUGUUUGGAUUAAAUAAGGGCAUUUUCUGGUAUUUUAAAUGUUUCAUCAUUCUCAGCCUUUAGCUUUAUAUAUACUAGCCUCUCUGCACGCGCUUACGCGCUUGCGAGAGGUUUUUUUAAAAAAAUAAGUAAAUUUAUUUUAGAAUUAAAAAAGAUAAUGGGUAGUUGUGUUCCAUAAAAAUAGAACCAUUAUCUGCUUUUUCUUUUUCUUUUAAUUUUUUAAAUAUGAAAAAGUGUGAAUUUACCAUAUUAUCCUCAUUUAAUUAAUAAUUUGAAUUCUUAAUGUUUGCAUUAACUAAGGGCAUUUUCUGGUAUUUUGAAUGUUUCAUCAUUCUCUGCCUUUUGCUUUAUAUAUAUAGAUAUAUGUAUAUAUAUAUAUAUUCAUGGGAGAAGGAAAUACCUUAUAAAUUAGCACCAAAUCACUGUUUUAUCAAAUCUUACACCAAGCUGAAGCCCAAUCCAGUCUACACGCAGUUUCACACUUGGAUAGUAUAACCCAAUCAACUGAGCUAUAUCCCAUUGGCCAAAUUAAAUUAAGCUUAGUCUCACGUACUUAAAGAGCUCAUAAUUCUGUUUUACAGAAAAUAGAAUUUUAUUAAAUUGGCCUUUUCCCUUCUCCCUCUCUAACAUGAAUUAAUGAUGAUGAUGAUUUUAUAAUUUUCACUUUACAUCUUGAUGUCAGGUAUUUAUUGAAUUCAAUUCAAUUUGUUGUGUUAUGAUUAAUUGCAUUCAAAUUAAUCAGAAUGAUAUUAUCAUGUGGUAUUAUCAAUUUAUAUAUCGUAGCAUGAAGUUAUUAAUUUACGUAUUAUUAUAUCACGUGAAAAAUUACUCCAAAUAAGGUCAGCUUGAUACCUUUCUCACAUAUAUAUAAUGUCAAUCAAUAGACUGAAAUAGGAGAGGUAUUAUUUCUAAUUCAUUUGAUUCUUUGUUGGGUUUCUAUGUAAGUGUAAUGAAUGAAAGGCUGAGAACUAGCAUUAUAGGCCUAAUAGCUAGUCAUGACUUUUGAUUAAAAUCCAUGUUGUACAAGUUUUUUGAGAAGAAAAAGGCAAAAGGGCAAGAUAUUAGAGCCUUUCCACCCAUGAUGCGGGAUGAACUGGCAAGACUUUUCAUCAUAACUAUUGGCAAGCAGCUGUUAGCCUAUGCCAAAGAUAAGAUUACCAUUUAAUUAAACGCCUCAUUAAUUUGUUUCACCAACCAUCUACCCUUUUUUUUUUGAAAAAAUGAAAGGAAAAAAAUUAUGGAAAAUUACUAAAAAAUUUAGAAUUUUUUUUAUACAUACCUACCAAUUUUUUAUUUAUUAAUUUCAUAUAUAUAAAUAAAAUUAGUAGUUACCCUUGAGUUGCCAUGGCAAUGGGUGGAAGAACAAUAAAAUAAAAAAUUAUUAUGACAGAUACUAUUCGCGUAAAUAGUAACCGCUCUUAUUUGUCCUUGUCAUUUAUCAUGACAAAUGGGUGGAAAUGCUCUUUGAAAUGGCACAUGGAAUUUCUGUUCAUAUAUAACCCACAUGCUAGUACAAAUGUCAAUUGAUCUUAUUGAUUAGGGUUAGGUUAUCCUCUUUAUAGAAACUCAGAGGCCAUCCUGCUUUGUUAAUCUUUGUUUAAAUGUGAUUGAUAUAUAAAUCUUUCUACCGAUUGGGUAUUUUCCAAUUUGGAAGCUUCAAGCUAGGUUAUGCGACAAGGUUGAAUAUAAAAUAUAUCCAAAUGCACCAUAACUUAUCGUUUUUUCCUCCAAAUCAGCAAAUCAAAGAGAUGGCCACAUGAUGAACACAAAGUCAAAUUAUAAUACGUACCCAGUUGGGGGGCUAUAUAUGCAAAAGUUUUGAUUUUGAUUUUUGAUUUGAAAAGAAAAAAGGAUGAGAGCUUGUAAUAUACACCAAAACACAAGAAGACGUACGUCUUUGUUCUAAACUUUCAUUUUUGAAGUUUUUAAUAUUCAAAAGCAUAUGCGACUUCGUAAUUUAUAAUUUAUAGCCAUAUAUAGCACAAUUAGAAUCUUAAAGAUUAAUUUUCCCAAAGGCCUUACAAUUUUAUAAUUAAGUUGGUUUUUCUUUUUUGUCACACGAUCUCAACCUGGUUACAAGGACGGAUUCAGGAUUUCAAAUUGAGGUGGGCUAAAUUUACCUUACGCACAUAACUAUUAAACUUGACAGUACAAAGUGAAGUUCAUUGAUAACAAAAGGCUACAACUAAUCAUAAUCAUAAUGACAUAAUGAAUUUUACUCCCCAAAAAGCAUCUAGUACAUAAUUCUUUUAUAUUUUCUACGUGCGGGGUAUGUGAAGUGAAGGGUGGGUUAUUUUUUACCAAACAAGAAAAUAAGAGGGGUUGUUUUCUACCAAAAAAUUAAAAGAAGCAGGGUUUUUUGUAUUGGCCUUUGGCCCCUUAUGUACCAAAAGGAAAAUGAGAGAAAAAAAGUAAGGGGGAUUAUGAGAGAGCAGUGCAGGGCUAUAGCACAUGUUAGUCAAAGAGUAGGUCGGUACCUGCCUGGUUAUGUUCUUUAACAUUUUGAUUUAUGCAUGGCAUGUUACGUCAAGCCUUGACGUAAAGUUGAAGCUUAAUUCCGCACGCAAUUUGACUCUCCUUAUAAUAAUUUCAUAUUUUAGUAGGGCAUGCAUGCAUGCAGCAGAUUAGGGUGGACCCUGAAGACAUCAUUUCUAGAUAAAUGAAGUUGGACCAAAAAGAACCUGGAAAUAAUGAGGUUAUAAAAAUAAAAAUGAAGUUAUGCAUUGUAUGAAAGCCAUGAUAAAAUUACAUCAACGUCACCAGGAAGGAAAUUAGCAGAAACAGAAAUACAAUUGCAUGCCUGUAGGCUGUGUGUGUACUGGAAACAAUAAAUUUACAUCAGCUCCUAUAUCUAUUCUAUGGCGGUGGGCUUGGAUAAACGUGGUUGCUCAUGAUCUUGUUGGCGUUUGAAGCAGAAACUGAAGAAGGCCUAUUAGUAACAUUGUCUGAAACUGAAGCAAGAGCAAAACCAAUGGACAAUUUGAUCAAACAUCAUCCUCUUCACUAACCUCUUCUUUGCCGGGAAGACACAGCCAGCUUUUGGUUUGAACAACCUUUGCUCAUCCUUGGUUUGAUCUUCAGAUGGGCUCAACUUCAGCUCCUUUGGGUGGUGCUCUCUUUUGGGGCAGAGGGGAUCUUCUUCCCCAUCUGGAUUCAAGUGCUUUAACGCCUUCUCUGCAUCUGAACUUUUCUUCAUUGACAUCUCUCUCUCUCUCUCUCUCUCUCUCUCUCUCUCUCUCUCUCUGUGCCAAACAACCCUCUCUCUCCUCCUUUUGCACCAGGGUAAAAAUGAAUGCAAAUGUAGCCUUCUUUUAAUAUUUGCCGAAGAUGUUGUGAUAUGAUUAAUUGUGUUCAAAUUAAUCAAAAUAACACCGUCAUGUGAUAUUAUCAAUUUAUAUGUUGUAGUAUGAAGUUAUUAAUUCAUGUAUUAUUACUUCACGGAAAAAAUUACUCCAAAUAAGGCCAGCUAGCCUUUCUCACAUAUAUAAUGUGUAUCAAUAGACUGGAAUAGGAGAGGUAUUAUCUCUAAUUCAUUUGAUUUUUUGUUGGGUUUCUAUGUAAGUGUAAUGAAUGAGAGGCUUAGAGCUAGCAUUAUAGGCCUAAUAGCUAGUCAUGACUUUUGAUCAAAAUCCAUUUUGUACAAGUUUUUUGAGAAGAAGAAAGCGAAAGGGCAAGAUUUUACAGCCUUUCCACUCAUGAUGCGGGGUGAACUGGCAAGACUUUUCCUCAUAAUUAUUGGCAAGCAGCUGUAAGCCAAUGCCAAAGAUAAGAUUACCAUUUAAUUAAACGCCUCAUUAAUUUGUUUCACUGUGAAAAAACCCCUCCACUAAGGAAUUCUAGCCCGGAUUGGACGUGGGCUCCAUCAAGGUUGGGUAGUGUUCGAAGGCAAGAUAAGCCCGACCUGGUGCAUGAAGACGUUAACAUCAAUAUUGACGUCAGGGAAGAAAUAAAUUGGAAAAAAAUUCUGAAAAGUUACUAAAAGGUUCAGAAUUUUUUUUAUACAUACCUACCAUUUUUUUAUUUAUUCAUCUCAUAUAAAUAGUAAUUUCCCUUGGAUUGCUAUAGCAAUAGUGGGAAAGCAAAAAAAAAAAAAAGAAAAAAAAAAGAAAAAAAAGCUAUAACAAACACUAUUCACAUAAACAGUAACCGCGCUUGCUUACUUUUGUGACAGGACCCGCCUCAGAAUUUUCCGGAAAUCAGAGCGAAUAUCGUCUUAAAUCUGACAUCACCCCGAUGCGGGCCCACUUACUAAAAACUCGAGACUUUCUACCAACAAUUUGGCAGUCUUCCCUGUAAAAUGAACAAUUCCCAAAUUUUCAACCUGCUCAAAAUUCACAAUUUAACAUAUCCAACCGGCAGCAUGCUUUAAAGUGAAUAAACAGUUUACAACAAAGGCCUCCGGCCUCACAAAUCAAACCCUAACAGGGGCGAUAAUAGAGCAUGUCUAAGAAUUUCAAUUUCAACUUAACAGAGUUCAACUGGAAUAAAAUGAUGAAAGAGUUCCUACGAAGGCUCAAGACUCGGCUCGGCUGCGGAGCUCAAUCAACUAAUAGCUGGGGGGCGCAUAACAGAAAAUUGUGAGUGGACAAAAAUAAAGUUCAUUCAGUGUAAACCAACAUAGUAUAACGCCGCCGUUAGAAAACCAUGCAAGAAAAUCCAAAUGCAUCCCAAAACAUCAUAAUCAAGUAUAUAUAUAUAUAAUCAAAUCAGAACCGGAUACCAAGUCCGAAAUCCAUAAAGAACGCUUUACAAACCCACCAUCCAAAACUUAUAAAUCCUACAACUAAACUCUUGAAAGCGUACCCAUUGGCACGAUCGGCAAAGAAGUAUCCUUACCGAGAAACAAGAACGAAUGAAUAGCUAUAUAUAUAAUUAUAAUUAUAUAAAAACUUAGAGCACUUCCACCCAUUUGUCAUGGCAAAGGGCAAGGGGAGGCAAUGGUUGUUACUAUUCACAUGAAUAGUGGCAGCCUUGGCAUAAGCUCGUUGUGCUUCCACCCAUUGCCAUGGCAACCCAAGGACAACCACUAUUCACAUGAAAUAUGAGGAGAUGAAUUUGUAUAGAGUUUUGGUGUGAGAAGUAAAGAAUAUGGCUAGGUAUUUAUGUAUAAAUUUUUUUUUAUUUUUUGGGUAUUUUUUUUCAAUUUUUUUGUUAUUUAAAUUGGUUGCUGGUGUCAUUAUGAUGUCAGCAUUACAUCACUUACCCAGGCAAGAGCACGGGGUGAUUCUACUUGAGGCCUUGCCCAGGUUGGUGGUCCCCAAACUUGCCUAGGCUUGCCUUUGGCACUGGAACUGUCUUUGUGGGCUAGGCCCUGUCCUACCUCGGCGAAAGGCCUUCCGCUGGAAGUGCCUGAGCGAAAGGCCUUUUGCUGGAAGUGCCCUUAAAGGCCACUAGCGGAACUAGGUAGAGGGCUACCAUGGGCUCUAGCCCAAGUAGCCUAUUUUUAAAAUUAAAAAAUAUUACAUUUAUUUUAAUGUUAUUCACCCCAUAAAAGCUUAGUAGCCCAGUCAAAUGUAGCCUCGUAACCAUUGUUCACUCAACUUUAUAGGCCUAUAAUCAUCUUAUAUUUAAUUUAUUUGCUCAAUUAAGAAACAUAAUCUCUUAAUAAAUACUCAUGAUUUUAACUCUCCACCUUUUACUAUUUUAUUCCGAUUUAUACUUUUAUUUCUAGAAAAAACUUUAGAAACAUGAAGUACCCAAAAAAAAAAUGGUCAUUAGAUUUUAAGCUAAUAACUUUAGCUAACCCACCCAUUAAAAAUUUCCUGAUUCCGCCCUUGUUAGAGGGCCUUCCUACUUUGUUAACCUUUGUUUAAAUGUGAUUGAUAUAUAAACUUUGUUUAGGGUAUUUUCCAAUUUGGAAGCGUCGAGCUAGGUUAUGUGACAAGGUUGAAUAUAAAAUGUAUCAAAAUGCACCAUAACUUAUCGUUUUUUCCUCCAAAACAGCAAAUCAAAGAGAUGGCCACAUGAUGAACACAAAGUCAAAUUAUAAUACGUACCCAGUUGGGGGCCUUUAUAUGCAAAAGUUUUGAUUUUGUCACACGAUCUAGUCCUGGUUAUGUUGUUUAACAUUUUGAUUUAUGCAUGGCAUGUUACGUCAAGUUAAAGCUUGAUUCGGCCCGCAAUUUGACUCUCUCCUAAUAAUUUCAUAUUUUCUUCCAACGACUUAAUUUAAUAUUUGAUAAUUGAGGGUGCGGACAGGGAAAUAAUGAAGUUAUAAAAAAAAUAAAAAAAGAGAUUCCUAGUCACUCAUUGGUGGUCUAUAGUAAUAUGGGAUCUCGAAUAAUAUCAUGCAUGGUCAUGGAAUUGGUGGCAGGAAGAUUGGAUGAUAUCAUGCAUGGUCAUGGAUGGAAAGUCAUGGUUUUGUUUUCAAUAACAUAUGUGGCUUUGAAGUCUUUACUUUUUCAUAAACUUCCUUGGCUAUUCCUCUAAUCAAGGACCAUGUUAAUUGUGUUUUAUUCAUUUUGAUGGUGGCCCAAAUUUACUUGAACUUUCUAGCUUAUUUAGCUUACCAAUGUUACAUAUCACAUCAACUUUAAUAAAAGCCGAGAGAGAGAGAGAGAGAGAGAGAGAGAGAGAGAGAGAGAGAGAGAGAGAUCAAAGAAAACCCAGCAUUCUAUGAAAGCCAUGAUAAAAUUACGUCAACGUCACCAGGAAGGAAAUUAGCAGAAACAGAAAUACAAUUGCAUGCCUGCAGCCUGUAUGUACUGAAUACAAUAAAUUUACAUCAGCUCCUAUAUCUAUUCUAUGGCGGUGGGCUUGGAUAAACGUGGUUGCUCAUGACCUUGUUGGCGUUUGAAGCAGAAGCUGAAGAAGGCCUAUUAGUAAUAUUAUCUGAAACAAUACCAAAACCAAUGGACAAUUUGAUCAAACAUCAUCCUCUUCACUAACCUCUUCUUUGCCGGGAAGACACUGCCAGCUUUUGGUUUGAACAACCUUUGCUCAUCCUUGGUUUGAUCUUCAGAUGGGCUCAACUUCAGCUCCUUUGGGUGGUGGUGCUCUGUUUUGGGGCAGAGGGGGUCUUCUUCCCCAUCUGGAUUCAAGUGCUUCAACGUCUUCUCUGCAUCUGAACUUUUCUUCAUUGCCAUCUCUCUCUCUCUCUCUCUCUCUCUCAGUAUGUGCUUCCUUCUGUGUUGUGUUUAGGAUGAUUGAGGACGAGUUUAAAUAGAUGAGAAAUGUUUGACCAGCAUUUUAAUAUAAUAUUAUGAUUGAUUGUUUAAUCAAAAUUUCUUUUUUGACGAAAAAGUCCUUCAUAAAAAAUGGAUUAGGUCUUUCAUAUUCAACCCAAUCUCGUCCCUCCUUACUCUUUCCCCCCGUUUUCUUUCAUUCGCAACCAACCCAAACUGCACUGCACUGCAAUGGAACUCCAACCACAGACAAAUUGAACAAAUAUAAGUAAACGAAGAAGGGUACGAACGACCACAGUUUUCUAUCUCUGAUCGAUUAUUAUUUUUGUUGCUGAAAAUAAUGGUUUCGUAUUUUUUUUUUCCUGGUAUAAAAGAUGGAUUUAGGCUAUGGGUCACGAUUUAUGGCUGAAAAUUUCUUACAUCUGUGUUGGAUGAUCUUCCUAUUUUAUUGUAUUAAUUUUGUUCUUCCUUUUUGUCUACUCUUUUUGUUUUUGUUUUGUUUUUUUUUUUUGUUUUUGUCAAUUGUUUUCUAUUUAUUCUCGAAAUGAGAAGGAGGGAGGCAAUAAGGCAAAUUCUAUUUAUUUAUUAUAUUGAAACUAUGAAACAUAACAAAAUUCACAUCGAAAUUAAGUGAUGUGGUAUGUUCAGCUCAGCUGCCAUAUAAGGUGGUAUAAAAUUAUAGAAUAACUUAUGCAGUCCAAAUGCAUGACAUUAAGUUUGUAGCACACAUGUGUCAUCCUUUUCCAAUACUCAGAAGACUUCCACUCAUCCCUUUUUUCCAUGGUAAAAAGGGGCCUAGGCUCCAAAACCAAUCUCCACCGAGGAAAACAUUGCAUGGCAAAAAGUGGGCUCCAUGAAAUUGGGCAAGCUCAAAGGCAAGACUUGCUUGGGCUGCUGCCUGAGCAAAAAAUCACUUGUAUUUCACUAAUCCAAACCGUUUAUUUUGUAGAUACUCAUUCAAAGAUCAUCUCUACAAAAAAUCACUUGAAUCCGAUAUCAUUUGAUUAUUCAAUUGAGUUCUUAAAAUUUUAGUACUUUCUUGAAGCACCGUGUUCAUUGAUUUUAUAGGACACAAUUGGAUAUCGAAACGGUUUCCGAUUUGUCUAAUUUUUUGUAAGGAUGAUCUAUGAAUGAAGACCUUAAAAAUAGAUUGUUUGGAUCGUUGAAAAAAAAUUCAUAGGGUACCCUAAAGGACGUUCCUCAAAUAAAAUUAUUUGAAAGAUCCCUUAAUAGAAGGGGACUAUAUAUAUGUAUCAAAACAUAAUAAUAUGUAUAUUAAUGUAUGUUAUAUAAAAGACUUAAAUUGUAAGAAUCUCAUUUUCAUGUAGUAACAGAUUUAGGAAAUUUUUUAGAAAAAAGGCAAUAUUUAAAUGACUAACGGGAAAGAAUAGGUUUCAUUGAGGCAAAGACUGGGUUUAGAGUGAAGCACCUUUAGGUGGAAAUCUUGGAAUGCCAUCAAAGUCAUAUAGGGAUAAGUUGGACAUUGACUAAAGAUAGAAAAUACAAGGGAUGAGUAACAAGGCUCCCUUGAAGCAUGCAAUUUAGUGACCAAUUUCAAAGGUAGGGAAGGUAAGAAACGAAUAGAAAAGUGAUCAAGAGACACAAUCAAAGUGGCAUUAACAAUUAGGCAAAACAAGAAAAUAAUAAAGCAACUGAUCUUUGUUCGAAAAAAAGGGAAAAAACCAUCAUCGAUUGACUUGUUCAAAAAAAGGAAUUAGGCAAACCAAGAA
rnacentral:lncRNA from 1 species